AAUGUCAAAAACAAGUACUUGUAAACACCUCAUAUUUCCACUCGCAUUAAUAUUCCAGUAAUUCAAGCUAUUUAAAUGAAGAAACAUCGAAUUUAAAAUAACAAAACUUGUAAACUCCUCAAAACAACUAGCUAAUUUAAUCAAACAUUUGUUGAGGAUGACACAUUCCUAUUUCACCUGGAACCACUUCGUAGCAUCCUCCUGGUAGUAUGAUGCUGGAUCCCAACACGAGACUUCAACGGUGGUGGCCAACACAAUAGCCAGGGCGCUCCAAAACGAAGAAGAAAUCCAUCCCAUAAAUACCUGAAGAAGAGCCAACGCUCAACAUUAAUGGAACAACUUUUUUAAUUUAGCAUAGUUAGAGUUACAAGUAGCAUCAUACCAGAAGAAACCAAAUUCAAUGGACAUAACAAAGAAUGCAGUGCAUGAAGACAACCAUGGAUUAAAUUUCAAUCUAUUCUCAGGUUAGAGAGAGAGCUAUGGAAUAAUUAAUUGAUAUAUGAAAAUAAAAAAUGCCAUGGAGUUUUGUAUCAGUUAAUAACAGCUUCAAGUACAACAAAACAAGUACAACAAUAAAUAACAUGUAUUCAACCAAAAGCUGCAGGAGAUUUUAAUCUUACUUGUUUCCCAAGUCAAUAUGCUCUUGAAUACCAAAGCCAAAGCACCCAGUAUCACUGAAGUUUCUUCGCAAAAAUUCAUAUUCCUUCACCUUCAAUCCACUGUCCAGAAGCUGCAUUGCCUUGUCACCUCUAACAGUGACAGCGUGCAAUCUUUUCAUUUCUUCUGAUACCAAAAGAACGGACAGUGUAUCUAGCUGUCAACAACAAAGAAGAAACAACCGAUCAGAGAACAGCCAGUUGCAAUGAUAGGUUUCUGAUAAAGAAACCUUAUCCUUCACUUACUUCACACGCUAACAGAGUAUAGAGAAAUGAUGAAUAACCUCUGGUUUAUUGCUCAACAAGAAAGAAUACAAGAAUGGGACAACAAGGGAGCCUAAUCUCCCUCCAACAAGACUCAAACGUCUGUUCAGAACAUAAGAANUGCCAAAAGUCCCUCUCCAAUACUCAACUCUCCUAUUUAUACAAACUAACAUUCCCGCCCAUCCUAACUGUUAACACAGUUAGGCCAACUAAAUAACUAACUCCCUCUAACUGUUUAAUCACAGUUAUCUAACCUCUCCUCUUCCUUACAUACACCUUUAACUUCCUAUCAAUACCCUCCCCUCCAUUUUCAACCUUGUCCUCAAGGUUGAAUUCCAGAAAUCGGUCCUUAAUUGUUGCCAAAUCUUCCCAUGUCGCCCCUUCUAUACCUCCAAUCUGCCACUCUAUCAGGACUUGUUGGAUCACAUCCUCUCCUUGCUGAAUGUUGCCUACGUUCAAGCACCUUGAUGGGCCAGAAAGCAUGUCCUUCGGCCUGCAAUUCCUCUGGUAACGCUUUCUCCACUAUUUGAUCUCCCACCGCCUUUUUUUAAUUAAGAAGCAUGGAACACUGGAUGGAUUCUCGCGGCCUCUGGAAGCUCCAAUCUAAAAGCCACAUUGCCAACCUGCUGUAACACUUUAAAUGGCCCAAAAUAUCUAGCUGACAGCUUGGGGUGUAAUCGCACCGGCAUUGAGGAUUGUCGGUGGGGCCUUAUAUUCAAAUAGACCCACUCUCCCACUUUUGUAUCCACUUCUCUCCUCUUUUUAUUAGCCUGUUGGGUCAUCAAAUCUUGGGCACGUCUUAAUUGAUGCUUCAACUGAUUAAGGGCCUCAUCUCUCAUCAUGAGGUCCUGUGCUACUGCUUCCACCUGUGUCUCCCCGGGAAUAAAUCGGUUGAAAGAGGGAAGAGGCCUUCCAUACACAAUCUCAAACGGUGUACACUUUGCUGCUCCUUGGUAACUUGUAUUGUACCAAAAUUCUGCCCAGGGUAGCAUUGAAAACCAGCUCUUAGGCUGUUCCAAACAGAAACACCGCAAGUACCCUUCCACAAUGCGGUUUACCACCUCCGUUUGCCCAUCCGUUUCCAGAUGAUAAGAUGUGCUCAUCUUGAGCUGAGUCCCUUACAUUUUAAAAAGCUCUUUCCAAAAAAUACUCAAGAAUAAAGGGUCUCUAUCGCUUACCACUGAUACCGGAAUCCCGUGCAACCUAAUAAUCUCCUUAGCAAACACAUCAGCAACUGUUUUUGCAGAAUAUGGGUGCUUCAACGCCAGAAAAUGUGCAUAUUUACUCAGUCGGUCAACCACCACCAUAAUAUCAUCAUAUCCUUGCGACUUAGGCAGCCUCACAAUGAAAUCCAGGCUAAUUUCCUCCCACAUUGCCUAAGGAAUUGGCAAGGGCUGUAGCAAUCCUUGAGGGGAUGUUGUCACAUAUUUGUGUUGUUGGCACACUACACAGCUUGCCACGAAAUCUAUAAUCUCCUUCUUCAUACCUACCCAAUACAAAGAUUGGGCUAUCCUUCUGUAAGUUCUAUAGACACCCGAAUGCCCCCAGUCUUGGUCACAUGAAACUCCUCAAUUAGUUUAGGAAUCCAAUUGGAUUUCGCAGAUAUCACCAAUCUGCCUUUAUAAUGCAACCGGUCGUUCUCUAAAGUAUACGCCCUUUUUGAGUUAGGAUCGUUCCUCAACCGCUCAACCACCUUUUGCAGCUCGGUAUCCUCCUUGACCUCCUUCAAGAUUUCUUGGAAAUCUGGCCAAAAUGGCCUAGAAAUGGCUCGCAGCUCUCCUUCCUCCUGUUCUCCUUCAUGCCUUCGUGAAAGAGCAUCUGCAGCCCUAUUAGUACUCCCUUUUUUAUAUACAAUCUCAAAUUCAUACCCCAUCAACUUAGCCAACCAGUUCUGCUAGCUCUGGGUAGUAAUCCUCUGCUCCAACAAAUAUUUCAAACUCCGCUGGUCUGUGUAUAGCGUGAAUUUUCUUCCCACCAAGUACGGCCUCCAGUGUUGAAUGGCUAACACCAAAGCCAUCAAUUAUUUUUCGUAGAUUGAUUUACUGAGGUUAUUCUCCGACAAUGCUUUACUGAAGAAUGCUAUCAGCCUUCUAUUUUGGGUCAACACAGCACCCACUCAUCCUCCCGAGGCAUCACACUCAAUAUAGAACUCUUGGCUGAAAUCGGGUAUCUCCAACAUAGGGGCUGAUGUGAUCGUUGCCUUCAGUUCCUCCAUAGCCCACUUCGCCUGCUCGUUCCACGAAAAUUUCCCCUUCUUAAGCAGUUCUGUCAAUGGUUUGGCUAUUUUGCCAUAGAUGGCCACGAACCUCCUAUAGUAACCCGUGAGCCCAAGGAAACCCCUCAACAUUUUUAAGUUCCUAGGUUCUUCCCAUUCCACCAUGGCUUUAAUUUUUUCUCCAUCCAUUUCUACUCCCUGAUCUGAAAUCUGAUGGCCCAAGUAACGUAUCUUCUUCCCAAAAUCACACUUCUUCCGAUUGGCCACCCACCCAUUUCGUUCCAGUAGCUGCAUCACCAUUCCCAACUGUUUAAGAUGAUCGGCCCAAUUUGGACUAUAGACGAUAAUGUCGUCGAAAAAAACCAACACCCAUUUCCUCAAAUACAGUUGCAGGAGCUUGUUCAUUGUACUCUGAAAAGUGGCCGGCGCAUUCGUCAGUCCGAACGGCAUCACGAGAAACUCAAAGUGUCCCAGGUGGGUGCGGAAGGUCGUCUUCGCUACAUCUGCUUCCUCCAUCCUGAUCUGGUAGUACCCAGAUUUCAAAUCGAUCUUAGAAAAAUACCGGGCCCCCCUUAGUUCGUCUAGCAGCUCCUCUAUCACCGGAAUUGGGAACUUGUCUGGUACAGUGGCCUUGUUCAGUGCCCUGUAAUCUACACAAAAGUGCCAACUUCCAUCCUUUUUCUUCACGAGUAUGACCGGGCUGGAGAGUGGGCUCGAGCUGUGGCGGAUGAUUCCGGCCUUCAACAUUUCUUUAACCUGUUUUUCGAUCUCCCCUUUCAGAAUGUGAGGAUAGCGGUAUGGCCUCACAUUUAUAGGGUCUACACCCAUAUUCAACUGGAUUCGGUGCUGGAUUUGAUGUUCUGGAGGGAGCCCAUGCAUGUCUUGGAAGAGCUGAUAGUGGGAUUGUAGCAGCUUUUCCAGUUGGGCCCACUGUUCUCCUGUCACAUCUGUCCCCCACUCACCGUCUUCAGCUGCUUCUAUCGAACUCAAGCCCCACACGAACGCCCCUGAUUUCACGUCAUCCCAAGCUUCCACAAAGAUUUUGACUUCACCAGCUGUCGCGAAAGAGUUGGAUCUCCUUUAAUUGUGAUCGUUCUCUCCCCCACAUGGUACUCCAUUGUCAUACUUCCCCAAUUUGCUCUGACUUCUCCCAAUUUAGCUAACCAUGCCACACCUAAAAUAAUAUCGACACCCCCCAACUCAAAAACAUGGAACUCUUCCUCCACAUCCACCUCCUCCAGUCGGAUCACCACCCCUACACAACGUCCCUAGGUAACCCGCCGACACCCGUCGCCUAAACUCACUGUGUACGGUGCAGUGGCGAUUACCGGCAAGCCCAGCUCCUCUGUGGUUCUCUUGCUUAUAUAGUUGUGGCUGGCUCCGCUGUCUAUGAGAACCACCACCCUCCGUUCACCAAUUUCUCCGGUCAACUUCAAGGUUCCCGGAUUAGUCCAGCCUUCUGUAGAACACGCUGAUAACUCCAUAACUUUCUCCUCUGUAUUGCCGUUUACCUCACCCUCUUCCCCUUCGUCUUCGUCUUCUGCCAGUAAUAAUACUCGCAGACUCCUCUCGGUGCAGCGAUGGCCAGGUGCGAAAGGCCCACCACAUCGGAAGCAUCGCCCCUCCUCCUUUCUCUUGAGAAACUCAGGGUAAGGUAAAUUUCAAACCAUACGGCCUCUACCUUCACUCCCAGCCACCGCACUCGCUCUCACCACCGGGUUCGCUGUCGCUCCCUCUCUCCUCGUAGGUCCUCCACCCUCUGUUCUUCCCCACUGAUUCGUCGCGGGCUUAGUCGCCUCCGAUCGCGUCACGCUACCCAUGGGUAGCGCGCUGAAUGGGUAUAUCUUGAACCCAUUCACAUGGCUUCCCUGCGCUCUCAUCAUAGCAUCUUCCACGUCGCAUGCGAUUCUCAUCACUUCCAUCAACUCCAAGGGGUUCUGUAUCCUCAUCUGACCCUUGACAUCUUCACGUAAACCGGCUAAGAAGUAACCCAUCACCUGUACCUCCGGAAUUCCCUUCGUCUGCCCCAUCAAGACUUCAAACUGUCGAACAAAUUCCUCGAUUGUCCCCUCCUGGCGUAUAGUAGCCAAUCGUUCGAAUACGGUACCCCGAAAUCCACCCCCGAAGCAAUUAAUCAUGGCUUCUUUCAGCCCUUCCCACAUUCGAUUGCUCGCCUUCUCUUUCCAGAAAGUGAACCAGUAUGCCGCACUACCCUCCAUGCUGACAUAGGCGAUCUCCACUUUUUCCUCAUCUUCUGUCACUCGUUGUAUAUCGAAGAACCUCUUUGCCCGAUUGAGCCAGCUGAGUGGUUCGUCUCCGUCAAAGAUGGGUAACUCAACCCUCUUCCUCCAAGAUUUUUUCUCCCCAACUCUUUCACCGCUUCCACUACCUCCGGUUUCUCCAUUUCUCCUAUGUCUGUUAUCGUUCACGUAGCUAUCGUCAAAACUACUCUCCGUUUGAUUCUCCCUUUUCUCCAGAAUUUUCAUAAUUUGUUGUAAGUCUCGACGUACCGCCGCAGACUCCGCUUUCAUUCCCUCCACCGUUAUCUCGAUCGCUUCGAAUCGUGCCUCCACGGCUUUCUCCAUCUUCUCGUCGCAACGUCCUCCGCAAAAAGUAUCCGGCAGGUCGGACCAAACUUGAUAGGUUUCUGAUAAAGAAACCUUAUCCUUCACUCACUUCACACGCUAACAAAGUAUAGAGAAAUGAUGAAUAACCUCUGGUUUAUUGCUCAACAAGAAAGAAUACAAGAAUGGGACAACAAGGGAGCCUAAUCUCCCUCCAACAAGACUCAANNGUCUGUUCAGAANAUANNAACUGCCAAAAGUCCCUCUCCAAUACUCAACUCUCCUAUUUAUACAAACUAACAUUCCCUAACCUCUGGUUUAUUGCUCAACAAGAAAGAAUACAAGAAUGGGACAACAAGGGAGCCUAAUCUCCCUCCAACAAGACUCAAACGUCUGUUCAGAACAUAAGAAUUGCCAAAAGUCCCUCUCCAAUACUCAACUCUCCUAUUUAUACAAACUAACAUUCCCGCCCAUCCUAACUGUUAACACAGUUAGGCCAACUAACCAACUAACUCCCUCUAACUAUUUAAUCACAAUUAUCUAACCUCUCCUCUUCCUUACAUACACCUUCAACUUCCUAUCAUGCAACUAGAAAAAUUGUUGUCUUUUUAAAGGUGGGGCAAACAAGGUGCGCCCAAGACAACUUAUACUAGCUUAACAACAAUUGUGAGAGUUUAGAAGCAUUUAACGAUAAUUUUACAUUUUGCAUUAAAAUUUUAAACACCACCCUAGUAUAUUUAAUUGUUGGAUACUUCAGUUUCAACCCCCAUUACCCUAAUUCCCCUAAAAGAAUCAUAUCACCCGAAUAUAUUCAAUUUUGAUACAUUAAUUUCAAUUUAUGUUUGCAUUAUUUUAAGGAAUUUAAUUACACUAACAGAAACUCAUACGUACACAAGUUUGGAAAUCUAUGUCAAGGUUUAGUAUUGAAAAAUAUCCAGAUAUGAAUUCAAGUUCUCAUCAAACUCUUCAAAAUUUCAACUUCUUGUGACUUCAAAAGUGAGGGGGAUAGUUUUUCUGUCUAGUUGGAAUAAAAUAGGCCCCACGAAUUGCCCGUCAAAUUCCAAACAGACAAUCCAGUAUUACCCGCUUCUAUAAAUACUCUACAAAUGGAAACAUGGCACAAUCCUGGAGUAAACCGCAUAGAACAAAUAAAAUUGUAUAAUAAUCUUUUUGGGCAUUUGAAGUUUUGAAGGUCUUUAAACACUAUUUUCUUCACACUCUAGUAAAUAUGCUAGUAUUAACGCAUUUUAAAAAAAUUAGCACAAUCCACAACAAGUAACACUAAUAAUCCAGAAAAAAAAAUUACUUCAGCUUAGUUCUGCUCUUGCUUUCUUUAACUUUCCUCUUAAAGGCAGUUGGAUUUAGCAAUCUCUUGAAGGGGAAUAAAGGUAGUCCCCGAUGUGUCCUUCGCUUCUUUUUCAAUGCACCUGAAGAUAAUGAAAUAUACCUGAUGAUUAUACUUGCAUCACAAAACGUACAAUGGAAACAUGCUAGAUACUAUGCACAUACAGGGAAGCUAUGAGGAACAGCAUAAUUGGGAAAUGAAAUGAAAUUAAUAAUAUUUUAAUACUAAUCCAUGAACUUCUUUGAAGGAAAGCACAAAAGUAAUAUAUAGCUUUCAACAACCCAGAUAAAGAUAUCAGUAAAUGAGUGGGGGUACCUAAUACACGAUGAACUGGGGCUAAUUGAUCCGAUUCGGUGAUCACUUCACCGAACUCUUUAUCUUUCAUUACAACAUCUGGACUUAAAUGGCCGGCAGCUUUGAAAUUAUCUUCCAUUUCCAUCUCAUCAUAAGAUUUCAGCUGUUGCUUCUCGUGUUCAACUGUCUCAUGCCUUUUGACAAACUGUUUACCCUCCUCCAUCGAAGUAUCAGAAAUAGAUGUUUUUAAAUCUUCAUUUGCCAAAGCUGCAUGAAUCUUGCCAACCUCAUUUAAAUUAAUAUCAGAACUUUUGUCAUUAUAGCGUUUAUCAUAAAUUGGGGCAGGAAUAAUAUUAUCAAAGAUUUCUACUUCAUGAACAAUAUCAUGUGCCUCUUGUGAAGAACCAGAAAGUUUAUCGUUUUCAUGUGGUUUUAGAGGAUUCAAUGUACUGCUUGAGAUGCUUAAGUUUGAUUCUGAAUCAAAUGCUUUUGUUUCAAACAGGACGACACCAACAUUUGUGGCAUUUGUCGAAAUGUCCAUCUCCAUAGAAUUGAAAGCUUUGGUAGUUCCACUGUGUAUAUUUUUCUCCAAAAGUUCUUCACUUUGUUUCUGUGAUUGGGAGAUUUUACCUUGCUCAGGACAAACAUCAAACUUAUCAGGUUGCCCUGUUAAGUUGUUAUGCACAGGAGUUGACUGAUUAAUUUUUCUGACAACCGGAAGGAAGUUUAUUUUAUCAUCGACGAAGAUAGAGUCAACAGCCAUCGGAAUGUUCAUCUCCGUAAAAUUGACAGCAUCAGAUACUCCAUUAUGCAUAUUUUUCUCAAAAAUAUCAUCACGGCUCAAACUGUAACUAUUAGUUAUAUCAUCUGAUAAGGAGUUUUCAUCUUGCUCACAAGUUUCAAGUAUGUUGGACUUCUCAGUGAAGCUGUUAGGUACAGUUGCUGACUGAUCUAGCUUUUGGGUAACAGGUGGGGAGUUUACUUUAUUGCCUAAACAGACAGGUAAAACAUUGUUUGCAGGUAAGAUAUUCCUUAUUUCAAAACCAUUAGAUGGAAGGCUGUUGACCACUGAAGUAAAGUCAAUGGCUUUUUCAGUUUUCGAUGCUUUACAAGAGACCAAAGAAGAUUUGUGCACGUCAUUCAACAUGAUAUCACCUUCACCACUGGAGAUAGGAUCCCACUGUAGUAACUCUUGAUACCGAUCUUCCUUGGACUGAGAUGUUGCAUCUGUUGAUAAAACUUCUACUCUUAUUGCCUCUUUAUAAAAUCGUUUUUUUCUUAAAGAAUUAGCUAAAAGAAUCCUGCAAACAAUUCAAAAUGAUAUUCAAGACUCUUAAACAGUGCAAACCUCCAGACCCAAACACAAUAAAGGAUAUUGUAGCAAAUUGCAUACCUACAGUUUUUAGAAAUAGCAGCAUUAGCCCGUUCCUUGGAGAGUCCAAACAAUGACAACAAGUUGGCAACAUCACAAGGUCCUCUGAGCUCAUUCACAGUAGGAGCAGCACUUGAAAAUACAAUGUUGUGUCCCCGAGUCCAGUCCAUCAACAACUACAUAUUUGUUUAACCAGUGUAAGUUUCUGGACAUAUCUCAAUAUGAUAUUUGUAAUAACAUAAAAAGGUUGUCAAAACACUUAUAAUUGUAUGAGGGACUACCAAAAGGCCUGAGCAUAGUAGUUAAUAGCAGAGUGGCCACCCGCCAAAACCCAUAUAGCGGGAUAGUGAUAGCAGGAUGACCAUUAUUUUGAUCCCUAUGUGUAUGAGUGUACUUGUUAGGUUUCUAAUCAAGAAAUGUUAGACCGUUACUGGUCUAUGAGAGGAGGAAGAGACUUUAGUUAGUUAGUUGGUGUCUGUAGUUAGUAGUUGGUCUAACUGCUGUCUAGGCAGUUAGAGGGGUGCGGGGUAAGGAAAUUAAACCUGUAUAAAUAGUUGUAAAUGGGGGAGAGGAAAUACUUUUGGCCUUUACUGAAUUGUAGAUCAGGACACAUUGUCCUGAGGGGGAGAGGUUAGGCUCUCUGUAUUCUUUCUGUGAUCAUACGUGAAUAAAAGAAGUUUUCCUUCAAUAUGUGUGUUUUAGUCAAAUAAGGAGUGAGCUUUCAUAGGUUCUUGAAUUAAGAACCUAUCAUUUGGUCUGUGCCGAAUCCGAAGAGAGGAGUGAUUCAGUGAUGGAAGGAUAGUCAUCCGAGGAGAGGUUGGAUAACUUGGAGAUAACGGUGGAGGGAAUUAAAGAUGAAAUGGCGGCGAUAAGGCGUGAUCUUCAACAAAUGAUGAGGAUGAUGAGUGAAGGACAACACAAUAACAGAGGGGGAUCGGAAAAGGGAAGUACGUCGGGAAAUAACAAGCAAGAUCAACGCGACAGAUGGGGAGUGCAUCAGAAUUGGAGGAAGAAGGUGGAAUUACCUGGUUUUGAUGGGCAAGAACCGCACAGUUGGAUCAAUAAGGCUGAACGUUUCUUCGAUAUUCAGAAAGUGGCAGAUGAUGAUAAAGUUGAACUUGGUAUAUUAGCAUGGAAGGUAGUGCGAGCUAUUGGUUUAAGAUUUGGAAAGAAAAAACCAACAAUUGGUCUUGGAUGGGGUUGAAGGCAUCCUUGAUCAAUCGCUUUGGGGGAGGUUUCCAGGGUACGGUGUACGAGCAACUACCAACCCUGCGACAAGAAGGGACGGUGGAGGAAUUCAUCAGGAGUUUUGAAAUAUUGUUGGGGCAAGCGCAAGGAUUGACGGAGGAAUUGACAUUGGGGUUUUUCUUGGCGGGAUUGAGAGAAGAAAUUAAGGGCCAAGUUCGCAUCCAGAAUCCUAAGGAAUUGGAGGAAGCGAUUCGGAUCACGAGAGACGUGGAAGACGCGAUUGUCCGAGCACGGGGAGGAGGAUGGAACGGUGUCAGAGUGAACGGAGGAGGAUCGCGACCCACAACGACAGUCGUUCGUGGCGAGGUGGAGCGACCCACAGUAAAUCGCGCCAGAGGCGAGGCGAAUCGGAGGGAAGUAGUGUUGGGGGCGACAGCCAACAGAGGCGAAAACGUAGGUUAAGGUGAAAAUCGGGUACGGAUGGUUCGCAACUUGCCCUACCCAGAAUUUCUUAAACGUCGAGAGGAGGGACGUUGUUAUCGUUGCGGGUGCCCGUUCGCACCGGGUCAUCGUUGCGCGGAGAAGAGUCUGAGGGUGCUCCUUCUGGCCGAGGACGAAGAGGAGGAAAUGACCGACAAGGGAAAACUGGAAGAGAAGCCGAUGGAGUUGUCCACGUGUUCUGCGGAGGGGCUGACACCGCCGAAGACCAUGAAGUUGAUGGGGACGAUCGACGAUCGAGGAGUUGUGGUCCUCAUAGACAGUGGGGCCAGUCACAACUUCGUCAGUCGCAAGGUGGUGGAAGAAUUGAAGUUGCCCGUGACCUACACCCCGCCAUACGCUGUGAGCCUUGGGGACGGACACCGGAGGACAUCGAGGGGACGAUGCGAGAGGGUUCAAAUAUCGCUGGGGGAAGCAAAAGUCAUGGAGGACCUAUUGUUUUCGAACUUGGAGGUGUGGAUGUUAUAUUAGGUAUGGUUUGGUUGGCAAAGCUUGGGGAAGUUGUCAUCAAUUGGAGAGAGAUGACCAUGUCAUAUUCUGAGGAGGGAAAGCAGGUGCGGGUUCAAGGGGACCCAUCUCUAUCCAGACAGCUGGUGGAGCCCGAGGACUUGAAGAAGGAAGUGGAUGCUGACUCAUGGUUUUUAGUAUGGGAAGUAGGGCAGUUGGAGAAGCAGAAAAGUGACGCGUGUACAGAGGAGCUUACAGGGGAACAACACACUGAGCUGCUGGCAGUGUUGCAGGCGCACUACGAUGUUUUUCGGGAGAGAGAAGGCCUACCUCCAAAAUGGGAAUUGGAGCACCGAAUUGUCCUUAAAAUGGGAGAGAACCCUGUCAACAUUAGACCAUACAGAUAUCCCUAUUUCAUGAAGGAGGAGAUAGAGAAGCAGGUAGCUGACAUGUUGAAAGUUGGGAUUAUUAGGCCGAGCCGGAGCCCCUAUUCCAGUCCGGUCAUACUUUAAAAAAGAAGAAUGGUAGCUGGAGGUUUUGUGUUGAUUACCGAGCCUUGAAUAAGGCCACUGUUCCAGAUAAAUACCCAAUCCCGGUGAUAGAGGAGCUGCUGGACGAGUUGCAUGGAGCCCGGUAUUUUUCCAAGAUAGAUCUGAAGGCUGGGUACCAUCAGAUCAGGAUGGGAGAGGAGGAUAUUCCGAAGACAGCAUUUCGGACUCAUCAGGGUCACUUCGAAUUUCUGGUAAUGCCCUUCGGGCUAACCAAUGCACAAGCGACUUUCCAGAAUACAAUGAACAACCUGUUGCAUCCUUACCUCAAAAGAUGCGUGCUUGUCUUCUUUGAUGACAUUUUGGUGUAUAGCCCGACAUGGAGAGAUCACCUCGAACAGUUGGGGGCAAUGUUGCGAUUAUUGGGACAGCAGAAGUGGGUGGCCAACCAAAGCAAAUGCGAGUUUGGGAAGCAACAAAUUGGAUAUCUAGGACACAUAAUAUCAAGAAGAGGUGUAGAAAUGGACCAGGAGAAAGUGCAGGAGGUGUUGGAGUGGGGUGAGCCAAAAAAAUUGAAAGCUUUAAGGGGAUUUCUGGGUCUUACAGGCUAUUAUAGGUGGUUUGUGCAAGGAUACGGGAAGAUGGCCAAACCUUUGACCGAUUUGCUUAAAAAAGGGAAGUUCGAGUGGUCACCAGAAGCUCAUACAGCCAUGGAGAAACUUAAGACAGCCAUGACUACUGCACUGGUCUUAUCUCUUCCUAAUUUUAACCAAGAGUUUCACCUGGAGUGUGAUGCAUCAGGAGUAGGUGUGGGGGCGGUACUUAUGCAGAACAAGAAGUCCAUUGCAUUUUUCAGCAAAUCUUUGUCGACAGGAUCCUUGAGUAAGUCUGUGUAUGAAAAGGAGCUCAUGGCUUUGGUAAUGGCUAUUCAACACUGGAGACCCUACUUAUUGGGGCGGCGGUUUGUGGUACACACCGAUCAACAGAGUUUGAAAUAUCUCCUGGAGCAACGAAUAACGACCCAUAGUCAACAGAAUUGGAUGGCUAAACGUAUGGGGUACGAUUUUGACAUCGUGUACAAGAAGGGGAGUUCAAAUAAAGUGGUUGACGCCCUUUCAAGAAAAGGGGAAGGAGUUAUGGAAGAUAUUGAGUUGCAGGCCAUUUCCCGACCUUAUUGGCAUGACUUCCGUGAGCUGUUAAGGGAAGUCGAGGAAGACGAAGCACUUAAGAAAAUAAUCAAGGAGUUGGAGGAGGACCCAAAUAGCCAUAUGCCAUAUACUCUGGAGAAUGGAAGGCUCCAUUACAGAGGAAGGUUGGUGUUAUCUGUUGCCUCUAGCUGGAUUCCCCGACUGUUGGCAGAGUUCCAUGUAACCAGCACGGGGGGGCAUUCCGGGGUGUUUAGAACGUACCGAAGGCUGGCCCAGUCACUAUACUGAAUGGGUAUGAAGAAAACCAUGACUGACUUUGUUGCUGGAUGUGUGGUAUGCCAGCAGCAUAAAUAUAUGGCUGCGGCACCUCAGGGUCUACUUCAACCUCUACCCAUUCCUCAGGCCGUGUGGGAAGAGGUGAGUAUUGAUUUCAUUGUUAAGUUACCUAAAUCUCAGAGCUAUGAUGCUACCCACUCCUUAUUUUAGUCAAAUAAGGAGUGAGCUUUUCUUGAAUUAAGAACCUAUCAAGAAACCUAAAGAAAUCUCACUAACUCACACAAGAAUCAACACCCAACACUCUGUAUAACCUCCACUGGUACUAUUUAGUACAAGAAUACAAUGAAUAGGGUAGUCUGGAAGCCUAACCUCCCCCAACAGGAAUAACGAAUCCUGUACAAAGUAUACAACAGUCAAAAGUAAGUCCUUUCUACUAACUCUUACUAUUUAUACAAAUCCAAUCCCUCUCAUUCCUAACUGUCAAAACAGUUAAGCUAACAGUUAAACUACUGACGCUUCCUUCUCCUCUCAUACACUAACAAUCUCCUAUCAUUACCCCCCCUCCCCUCCUUCGACAACCUUGUCCCCAAGGUUGAACUCAGGAUAUUGACCCUGAAUGGUGGCUUCGUCUUCCCAAGUAGCGCCCUCCUUGCCCCUUCUUGCCAUUCCACCAGGACUAGGUGCAAUAACUCCUCUCCCUGCUGAACCUGCCUCCUGUCCAAGACUUUUAUUGGCCAAAAAUUGGCCUCUCUACCUGCAGCUCCUCUGGCAGCCCCUUUUCCACUAUCUUGUCCCCCACCACCUUCUUUAAUUGGGACACGUGAAAUACCGUGUGAAUCCUUGUUGUUUCUGGUAGCUUCAGCCUAAAAGCCACAUUUCCUACCUGCUGUAACACUUGGAAAGGACCAAAAUAGCGGGCCGAUAGCUUUGGAUGCAGCCUCACUGGCAUCGAAGAUUGCCGGUGAGGUCUGAUCUUCAAAUAGACCCAAUCAUUCACCUUGAUAUUCGCCUCUCUCCUCCUCUUGUUGGCUUGCUGGACCAUUAGGUCUUGGGUCCUAUUCAAGUGAAAUUUCAACUGUCUAAGGGCCUCAUCACGUGUCAUCAAGUCUUGGGCCACGGCCUCCACCGAUGUUUCUCCAGGAAUGAAUCUGCUGAAGGAUGGAUGGGCUCUGCCAUACACGGUUUCAAAUGGCGUGCACCUAGCUGACUCCUGGUAACUGGAUUUAUACCAGUACUCCGCCCAAGGCAAUACUGCAUACCAAUUCUUGGGUUGCUCUAAACAAAAACAGCGUAAAUACCCUUCAACUCUCCUGUUAACCACCUCUGUUUGCCCAUCCAUUUCAGGGUGAUAGGCGGUGCUCUUCUUGAACUGGGUCCCCUGCGCUUUGAACAACUCUCUCCAAAAUAUGCUCAAAAACAGUGGGUCUCUAUCACUUACAAUUGAGACCGGGAUGUCAUGCAGUUUGAUAAUCUCCUUGGUAAAUAUCUUUGUUAUUGUUUUCGCUGAAAAAGGGUGUUAUAAUGCAGCCUAUCAUUUUCCAAAGUGUAUGCCGCAUGGGAAUUUGGAUCUCUUCGAAUGUCAGCAAUCACCCUUUUCAAUGCUUCGUCCUCCUCCACUUCUCUUACAAGUUCUUCAAAAUCUGACCAGAAGGGUCUAGAUAUAACUUGGAGCUCCUUUCCCUCUAUCUCACCCUCAUCUCUUCGUGACAGGGCAUCUGCCACUUUGUUGGUGCUCCCCUUUUUAUAGAUUAUUUCAAAAUCAUACCCCAUAAGCUUUGCCAAUCAGUUCUGCUGGCUCUGAGUGGUGAUCCUUUGCUCCAUCAAAUACUUUAGGCUACGCUGGUCAGCGUAUACCGUGAAUCUCCUCCCCACCAAGUAAGGCCUCCAAUGUUGGAUGGCUAACACCAAUGCCAUCAGCUCUUUCUCAUAGAUUGAUUUACUCAAAGAUCCCCCCGAAAGUGCCUUACUGUAAAAAGCAACGGGCUUCUGGUUCUGGGUCAAUACAGCCCCCACCCCUCCUCCUAAAGCAUCGCAUUCAAUAUGAAAUUCCUGAUUAAAGUCAGGCAAUGUUAAGACUGGGGUAGAGGUUAUAGCAGCCUUCAAACUAACCAUAGCCACCCUCGCCUAAUCUAACCAAGCAAACUUCCCCUUUUUCAAUAACUCUGUCAACGGUUUUGCUAUUUUCCCAUACCCAGCUACAAAGCGUCUAUAAUAUCCCGUCAGUCCCAGAAAACCUCUCAAAGCCUUCAAGUUUCUGGGUUCUCCCCAUUCCACCACUGCCUUAAUCUUCUCCCUGUCCAUUUCCACCCCCUGCUCAGAGAUUUGAUGAUCCAGAAUCUUUCUCUUCCCAAAGUCACAUUUCUUCCAGUUGGCCACCCACCCCUUUUGUUCUAAUAGUUGCAUCACCAAAUUCAGCUGUCUCAAGUGGUCUUCCCAACUCGGGCUAUAGACGAGAUUAUUGUCAAAGAACACCAGCACCCACUUCCUAAAAUAUUGCUGCAAUAGGCUAUUCAUCGUGCUCUGGAAAGUUGUCGAUGCAUUCGUGAGGCCAAAUGGCACUACCAGAAACUCAAAAUGACCUAAGUGUGUGUGAAAGGAGUCUUGGCCACAUCUUCUUCUUCCAUCCCGAUCUGGUGGUACCCAGAUUUUAAAUCAAUUUUAAAAAAAUACCUGGCACCCUUUAGUUCAUCUAACAAUUCUUCUAUCACCAUAAUAGGGAAUUUGUCCAGUACGGUGGCCUUGUUUAGUGCCCGAUAAUCUACACAAAAGCGCCAACUUCCAUCCUUCUUCUUUACUAGGAUGACCGGGUUGGAAAACGGACUCGUGCUGGGGCGUAUGAUCCCGACCUUCAACAUAUCUUCUACUUGUUUUUCAAUCUCGCCUUUCAUGAUGUGAGGAUACCGGUAUGGCCUCACAUUUAUAGGGUCGACACCUUCUUUAAGCUGUAUUCGGUGCUAGUUAUUACGUGGCGGAGGCAAUCCAUGCAAAUCUCGGAACAAGCGAUAGUGCACCUGCAGCACGGUUUCCAAUUCCACUUCCUGCUCUGCUGUCAAAUCUUGCUCCCACUCACCGUUCUUCUAUGCCUCCACUAUGCUUAAAUCCCACACCAUCGCCCAUGACUCAGCAUCCACCAUCUUCCGCAAUGAUUCCUAUUUAACCAGGUGUCACGACAAGGCUGGUUCACCCUUUAUUCUGAUCUUCUUAUCCCCCACGUUAUACACCAUCGUCAUAUCACCCCAAUUGGUCCUGACUUCUCCCAAUUUUGCUAGUCAUGCAAUGCCUAGAAUCAUGUCCACUCCCCCUAACUCAAAAAUAUAGAACUCUUCUUCCACAUUGACUUCCUCCAAUCGAACAGUUACCCUUUCACAACGUCCUUGGGUAAUCCUUUUAUACCCAUCGCCUAAACUCACUGGGUACGGUGGUGUAUCUAUCACCGACAAUCCUAACUCCUCUGUUAUCCUCCUGCAAAUGUAGUUAUGGCUUGCGCCAUUGUCUAUAAGCACCACUACACUCCAUUCAAAAAUUUUCCCCCUCAACUUCAAGGUUCGUGGAGUGGUCAGCCCUUCAGUCGAACAUGCAGACAAUUCCAUGGGUGUUUCCUCCUGGUCGCUAGUUACCUCACCCUCUUCUCCAUCUUCAUCCUCUGCCAGCAGCAGUACCCUUAAACUCCUCUCAGCGCACCGAUGACCUGGUGCAAACGGGCCCCUGCAUCAGAAACAAGGACCAUCCUCCUUUCUCUUGAGAAAUUCGGGGUAAGGCAAAUUUCUCACCAUUCGCCCUCGAUUGUCGCUCCUAGCCGCAUUACUUCCCCUCGCUAUCGUGCUCUCCAUGACUCCAUCCCUUCUCACGAACCCCGAAACCUCUGUUCUCCCCUGUGUCUGCGUCGUUUGUCUGUUGGGUUCUUAUCUCAUCACAAUUCCCGUUGAUCUCGAACCGAAUGGGUUUAUCUUGAACCCACUAGCAUGGCCUCCUUGUGCUCUCAUCAUCGCGUCUUCCACAUCACGCGCUAUUCUCAUCGCCUCCAUUAACUCCGAUGGGUUCUGAAUCCGCACCUAACCCUUCACGUCCUCUCGUAAUCCAGCCAAGAAGUAACCCAUUACCUGCUCCUCGAGUAUCCCCUUUGUUUUCCCCAUCAAGACUUCAAAAUUACGAACAAAUUCCUCUACCGUUCCUUCUUGACGUAGAGUAGCUAGUCACUCAAACACGGUUCCCCUAAAUCCUCCACCGAAAUGAUUGAUCAUGGCCGCUUUCAACCCGUUGCACGAACGGUUUCUGGCCUUCUCCUUCCAAAACGUGAACCAAUACGCCAUACUCCCUUCCAUGCUCACGUAAGCGACCUCCACCUUUUCCUCAUCGUUCGUCACCUUUUGUAUAUCGAAAAAUCUUUCGGCUCUGUUGAGCCAACUUAGAGGCUCCUCGUCGUCAAAGGUAGGUAACUCUACCCUUUUCCUCCAAGGUCUUUGUUCAUCACUCCUUUCGCCAGUUCCACCACCUCCGGUCUCCCCAAUCACUCUGUGUCGAUUGUCAUUUACGGAGCUAUCGUCAGAGCUGUUCUCCGUUUGAUUGCCCUGCUUACCCAGAAUUUUCAUAAUUUGUUGUAAAUCUCGUCGUACCGCCACCGACUCCGCCUUCAUUCCCCCAUCGUUAUCUCAAUCGCUUCCAAUCUCGCCUCCGUCGCAUUCUCCAUUCUCGCGUCGUUCCCCAAAUUUGGAUCUGGCAGGUCGGACCAAAUGUUAGGUUUCUAAUCAAGAAACCUAAAGAAAUCUCACUAACUCACACAAGAAUCAACACCCAACGCUCUGUAUAACCUCCACUGGUAUUAUUUAGUGCAAGAAUACAAUGAAUAGGGUAGUCUGGGAGCCUAACCUCCCCCAACAGGAAUAACGAAUCAUGUACAAAGUAUACAACAGUCAAAAGUAAGUCCUUUCUACUAACUCUUACUAUUUAUACAAAUCCAAUCCCUCUCAUUCCUAACUAUCAAAACAGUUAAGCUAACAGUUAAACUACUUACACUUCCUUCUCCUCUCAUACACUAACAAUCUCCUAUCAGUACUGAUAACUAAAGAAAAAUGCCUAAACCUUAAUACAUAUUCUGAUUAAAUUUAAUAACCAAGAGAUCCAGAACUCAGCAGCUGCAACAGAACAACCAAUAACCAAUCCUAACACAGCAAAAGGCCAAUCACUGUGUCCAAAAACAACCAAGUAAUGAAACUAAAUAAGCUUUAACCGUACAACCCCAAAGCAGAACAACUAAUCUAAAUUCUAAAAUCUUCUAAACAUCAUGUUCAGCAGCAAUGUCAAGCAUUUCAUCUUCAUCUAAAUUCUAUACAUGAAGCAUACAAGAAAACUGAAGAAUUUGGGCUUGUAAUGGAGUUUUACAUUUUUAUCCUCAAUGAAAACAUUGUUCCUAAUAUAGAAAUGUUGCCACCUUAAGGUGGCCAGUCUGCUCUUGUGUGAUGUUGGCGCUAUUGCGCACAAUCACAAGCAAAAUCCAGCAAUGGAGUAAUGAUAAUAGUAAGACAAAAAGGUAAUGAGGAUCAAACCAAAUUUUGUGGUAAAAUCUUCUUACCUGGGUAUUUUCAUUAUAUUAAAUACUUCUCUAAAAUAACCAACAGGUUCCUUCCAGUCCACGAGGAAUCUCUUUACCUACCAUACCCACACUUGCUUUUAGCUAAACACAAUCAAUGAUAAUUAUUAUGUACGCGUUGAUUCAAUCACAUCUAGCAUCUAGAACAAGCUUAUCUAGUCUAACAUGCUUAACAGACUCAUACUUAAGCCUGAUCAUUUACCAAUCAAUCUAUUCUACUUCUGAGCCCUUGCUUUUAAAUGCAGAAGCGGACAUUUAAAAACACAAGCUCCAGAAGUACAUAAAUUCAAUUAAAGUCACACAAGAUUUCCUAGUUUGUAGAACAAAAGGAAAAGGCGUCAUCUAACAAAACUUUACAAUCUAUCACUACAAAACACAUCAACUCAACUCUAAAAAUAAGAACCAUUGUAACAAACACUCAAAGGUAAGACAUGUGUGUUUGACAGGGUCAAAGGAUUUAAAAGACAUUGGGGUGUUACAAUGCAAGAAUAAAGAUGCUAAAAAAAAGAAUGAGCUGCGAGAAAGUUAUCUGUCUAUACAUUAAAUAAACCAUACAGUAAACUUUCAGAAUAGCAAUCAUUGCGCAAUCUCAUAAUCCCCAAUAGAAAAUCAUCCUGCUACCUAUCACUUGUAAGACUUAGACUCCUCGUGAAUUUAAAGAGCUAGAGGCUGGUAUGAGUAAAUGAGUGAAUUGAUGCAUUGUGUUAUUUUCUUUUGGCUGUAAACUGAGCAGAGGUUCUUUGCAACCUCUAAAGGAGCUAGGUCAGCAUUUAGUAAAUAAACAUACUCCUCAAUUCCCAACAGUUGAAAAUUUACAAUUUUAUCUCUUCUACAUGUUUGCAAUGUGAGCAUGCCAUAUGAUAUACCCUUAAUGUAGAGUGCAUAGGUGGGUGAAUUAGGAAGAAACCAGGUGUCUAAUCUCUAUAGUUCAAAGCCUUUAAUUUUAACAACACUAGCAAGCUAGCACAUGAAGUAAUUAUACUAAUCAGACACCUUGAAAUUUGUUGAAAAACCAUAAAUAGAAAAAUAAAUCAGAAACAAUAAAAAAAAUCAAUUAUGUAAAAACUAAUUAAACAAAUCAAACACCAAAUGUGAUCUAAUCUAGCAAUAAUUCAGACGACUAUAUUGGAAAGAAAAAAUCACCUUAGCACUGGAAAUUAACUGUCUCCUUUUUUGAAUAUCAGCAAACAAACCAGAAUACGUGACUUCAAAACAAAUCCCACGCUGCAAUUAAUAAGCGACGUUUUAAUUAUCACCUUCCUUUUUAGUUAUAAGAAAAUAAAAGAUUAACAGUCAAGAACAAACCUGCAUUGCUACUUUAACCAUAGGCUGCUUCAAUCUAAACGGCAAUUUAGCUGAAAAAUCAAUCGAGAUAAUAUCCACCUGCAAUUAUUUUUAAUAUCAGACUUAAAUAUCAGAAGUUGUCCUUCCGUCAACAUAAAGAAUUCUGUAAUAAUCAACACCCACAUUUGAAGGUUUCAUAACAAGACAACAGGUUGGUAGAGUUAAUUUUCGUGUUCCUUCUGUAGCAAUAAAAAGGGGGGGUUUAUAAGAAAAAGAUACAUUAAACUUAACACGCUGCUUGCUGAUGUUCAAUUAUGUGCUUAAGAACUGAAAAUUGAAAACCACUACCAAGCAGUAUUAAGGUUCAAUUUUUUCUUCUUCUAAAAAAGAAAAUAAUCUAAAACCUGAGAGUGAACUCUACCAGCCAGUUAAAACAUUCUGAAACCAUCUAAACAAUACAUAAACAUUGAAAGAAAGGUCUGUAUCAGAAGAAAAAAAAACUGACAGAGAAAGAGAGAACAUGAAACACCAAGCACGGGUAUUGACUACUGCAGAAUUAUCCCAACCUCAAAAGGGCAACUGCAUUUAACUGCUCUACCUUCACAAUUUAGUGUAUAAAAGACCAUCCAAGUGAAAGGAGAUAAAAUUUAUACACUACCCUUACUUUCAAAAUCGCUAACACCUAAGCAAUGUGGGACUAAAAACAACUUUCAGGAAAGGGUACAUUAGAUAUAACGAACCUCCAUGGUCUGACACGCAAGAUCAAACGCGGUCUGGUUGAAGGGUUUAACAGCGACGAGAUCGUAGGUCUUCAAAAUGGGGUUCCCCGAAUUGAGGGCCUGGGCCUGGGUAGCGCUGUCUACGCAAACGGUGAGACGCGUGUACUGACGGAAGGGAGUAGAGAGUGGAACUCCGAGGAUGGAGCGGUGAAGACUGGCGGAGAGGGAGAGAGAGGGAAGAACGUUGAGGAGAGAGGAGAGGGUGAGGGGGGCAAUGGAGCAACGGUGCUGAUCAGACAUGACGCCUUUGAUCGUGCGGUUGUAAGCGAUUCCGGUGUAACCCAACUCCAUGGCCUUCACCGCAAGCCUGGUGCGGUUGCUUUGUUCGGCAACCUUGUUGGAGAGUGAGGGUUGGGGAUAGGGAAUGUUGAGAUCGAAGUAACCCAUGGUUGUUGUCGGAGAUGCAUACACGGAGUUUGGCGGUGAACAGUGAAACGCUUCUACGGCAAAGAGGGAAUGUGAGAGUGAGGCUGCAAAGAGAAGAAUAAAAUGGGAGGGUGGAUCAAGGUCUCUUUCUUUUCGAUUAUUUUCUUUUUCUUAUUUAUUUAUUUAUUUAUUUAUUAUAUCUUCAAAAUAUAUUAAUUCUGAUAUAUUAAAAGAUAUUUUUAAAUACAAAAAUACUGUACAUAAGUAUUUUGAAGAACAUAAAAAUUGAUUAAAAAAUUUCAAAUUUUAAAUAAUUUUAUGAUGUUUUAAUACCUAGUAUUCUUUUUAGUUUUAUUCAAAAUGAUCUUUUUAUUUUUGAAUUAUUUGUGAUUUCAUUUUCUUUUUAAAUAGUUUAAUUUGGUUCUUUUUAUAACACAUUGCCAUGUCACGUGGUAAUGUUAAAAGGUUUUAUUUCAAUUUUUAUAUUUUUCUUUUUAUUAAUAUUAUCAUCUUUUUCUUGUCCAAGUCUUCAUCAGUCACGGAGUGGAAAAACCUUGUCGGGCAUUAACUAUGAUAUAGUAGUAGUUUCAGAUAGAAGUGCAAAUUUUACUACAAUCUUUGAAGCAAUACCAGCUGCUCUUGUGUUGAGUCCUAUGAGGCUUUUAUAAAAAUUAAAGGUAUAAUAUAUUAGGAGAAUUGAGUAGUUUCUUCUAACAAGACUAGCCUCUUUUUCAUUGGGGAUGGAAGAGGCAUUAUUGUCAUUACCGCAACUAAAAAUGCGUGUAAUGGUUAUGGUACAUUGGAAACUACCACCGUAGGUGACUUUAUCCUUGUCUACAUACAAACUACAACUUAUCUCUUGUUUUAAUUUAUUUAUCCAUGACUUUGCAUGGUUAAAUAUGUUUGUAGAAUGAAAAUAAACAAUUUUUAAAUUAACCUUGGUGGUAUAGUUGUCGAAACUAUAGAUUUUCCCACGAGUAGCAUUAAUUUCCAAAAUACAAUAGGACCUUCAAAGCAACAAGUCAUCGUCCUAGCAAUAAGAGGAGAUCGAUCAACAUUUUACAACUAUGAGAUGCUUGGAUAUCAAGACAUUAUGUAUGUUUUGUAUGGUAAUCAUUUUUUCUUUGUGUUGUAUCUUAUUAAAGGCACAAUAGAUUUUAUUUUUGGGGAAUUGGGACAAGAGGUAUUAAAAGACUAUGACAUCCAAGUAAGAAUUCCUCCCCGAGGCCAUGAGAACAUUAUAAUUGCGCAAGGAAGAAAUGUUAAGAACGACUCAGGUGCCAUUGUAAUCUAAAAUUGUAGGAUUGGUCUGAGUCCCGAGUUUGAAGUCAUGAAAUAGACUUUGCAAACAUAUCAAGGAAGGCUCUGGAAAAACUAUUCUACGAUUAUUAUCACAAAAAUUUUAUAACUAAUAUAACUAACCCAACUGACUGGUUUUAGUGGGAGGGCACUAGUUAUGGUCUUAACACUCUAUUUUAUAGAGAGUAUAAAAACAUUGGAUCCGGUGCUCAAACAUCCAAAAGAGUUAAAUGGAAGGGAUUCAAGAUAAUCAUGCAUGUUGCUGCAGCUGAGCCUUUUACUCCAAGAAACUUCAUUUGUGGCUCUCAUUGCCUCAAUUUUAUAAGAUUUCUCUAUAAACUGGACUUGCAAAUUCUUUGAUGAUGUAUUUACAUGAUUACUUAAUAACAUAAAUCAAUUACAAAUCCUAUCGUCUUAAUGAGAUUUUAGUCUUUAAAUGUGCAACCGUUGAGUUUUAGAAUUUGAUAUUUGUACCUAUAAGUGUCGAUCAGCACAUAACACGAAUGAUGAACUCUGGCUUGGCAAAGGGACAGCCAAGCUUGGCCGGGCACAAAAAGGAACUAGGAUGAAUGAUAAAUUCAUAGUUUGAAGUGCAAGCCGGAUGGCAUCUGGUCUUCUCGUCAUCAAAGUACCAAACACAACUCCACAUUGUAGAAUAUGAAAGGAAUAAUAUUACUAAGGAAUAACAUAACUUAGAAAUUCAAGACAUAGUUUUGCUCUUUGCAUAAAACUACAACAAAAAAGUACAAGUUGUCCUCCCAAUUACAUUCCUUUAUAUAAAAACAAAAGUUAUUUUUUUUUCGGUUACUGCCAUUUUUCCCAUAAUUCCUCAUGACGCUGAAAAGAUGCCCAAAAUUUGAAUUUUCAAAAACAGUGAAAAGCAGCUCCAAAAGGUUGUUUUGUCGUUGCUUUUGUUGUGUGAAUCUUUGUUGCUGCAAAAUUUGUUUUAUCUGUUGAGGUGGCAGUGCACACUUUAAUCAAGGCAGUUCUCGGGUUCAACCUUCUUCUCUUCCCAAGAUCUUAUAUGGUCGACCUCUUACCUGUCUGAGCUCUACAUCAAAAGCUCAAUAACUUUAACAAUUCGGCAACUUCUCAACUCUACAUCAACAAUCCGAGAACAUCUCAAAUUGGCAUCAACACCCUAACAACUUAAAUGUAGCACGACAGUUCAACCUGAUGUUUCUUAACAUGCACAACUUUUGCCUCUUGGUUGUUGUCAUGGUUUAAAAGGUUGUUUUGUCUCCUUUUUUUGCGAAAUUUUGCGCAGGUCUCAGGGCCAAAGACAAUAAUAAGAGAAGUUUUAUUAUAAACAAGACUUUCCUAAAUGACACUUACAAAACAAGAUACUCAUUCAUCGACAAUGCGAGCAACCCAUUCAUUACAAGGUAUGCCCAGAAGUGGUCAAGUGAACUCAUCUCGCUCAUCGAUCAUGUCAAAUCGUCCUAUAAAAGAAGUGAAUUCUAACAACCACAGUUACAAUCCGAUCCAAUUUUUAAUGGAAGUUCGAUUAACUAACAAAACUUCUCCUUCCAAAAAUGUGCUUCUACCUUGAAGAUUUGCAUAAUUUUUUAACUUUAUUAAAAAAUAUAAUUAAUUUUAGAAUUACGUUUAGGUUAUAUAAAAUAUACAUUAAUGUUUGCUUAAUCCUAGACUUAUUCUUCACAUGUUGAUUGUUAGAUAAUUUUAUACUUAUUAUAUAUAUUCUUAUAUAUAUGUGUUUGCUUUUAUAUAAAUCUACAAAGUAACAUUUUCUAAGCCUAAUGAAAAAUUUGUUCAUAAUCUUUGUCACAUUCUUUUUAUUACCCAAGUGUUUAAACCGUCAAAAUUUCAAAACACUGCUACAAGACAAAUAUAUAAAUACGUAUAUAUAUAUAUAUAUAUAUAUAUAUAUAUAUAUAUAUAUAUAUAUAUAUAUCGAAAAUCUUCCUAGCAAAGAGUUCCAGGUAAGCGUGUCCCGUUAGACCCAACAGGUGAAAUGUCCAAGAAUCAACACUUUAGCUCCUGGUGAUACCUCUGUGAAACCAAGCCUUCUUUGUCUUGUGAUUGGGUGAAGAGAGGUUCUCUUAUUUCAUUCGCUUUUUUAAAAUCAGAAUCUCCCCAAGCCAAAUUUCUUUUGUCCUUUGAUGAAAAUGUCCUCUCCAAAUUCCCAAUCCUCCUCCUGCAAAAAAACCGUUUUCGUCUGCCAAAAACUCAAAUUGCGUCUUGCCCUAUCCUUGCCUAUCAGACUCCUUGUCGCUUUGCACACCUCCUCUCCCUCAGCCAAAACGUUUCAAACUUUCUUUCUUUUUUUUCACUAACUUAAAUUAUAUUAGGACAAAACUAACAAUAAAAGUAAAGACAAAACCCAAAAUGAAAAUUACAAAAAGAAAAAUAAAAUAAAAUAAACUAAAAAUGAAAUAAAAUAGAAUACUAAAUAAAAAUAGAGGAAUAAAAUAAAUAAAUAAAUAAAUAAAAUUAAAAUCGAAAUGAAAACAUAAGACCUAAAACCAAUCCAGACAAAAUUUGGUAUUGACAUAUCCCAUGUGUUUAAACCGAAAAAGUAAAAAGUAAGACUAUUAUUGGACAAAUAUAUACAUACGUACCUACAUACCUACAUACGUACUUACCUAUCUAUAUAUAUAUAUAUAUAUAUAUAUAUAUAUAUAUAUAUAUAUAUAUANNNNNNNNNNNNNNNNNNNNNNNNNNNNNNNNNNNNNNNNNNNNNNNNNNNNNNNNNNNNNNNNNNNNNNNNNNNNNNNNNNNNNNNNNNNNNNNNNNNNNNNNNNNNNNNNNNNNNNNNNNNNNNNNNNNNNNNNNNNNNNNNNNNNNNNNNNNNNNNNNNNNNNNNNNNNNNNNNNNNNNNNNNNNNNNNNNNNNNNNNNNNNNNNNNNNNNNNNNNNNNNNNNNNNNNNNNNNNNNNNNNNNNNNNNNNNNNNNNNNNNNNNNNNNNNNNNNNNNNNNNNNNNNNNNNNNNNNNNNNNNNNNNNNNNNNNNNNNNNNNNNNNNNNNNNNNNNNNNNNNNNNNNNNNNNNNNNNNNNNNNNNNNNNNNNNNNNNNNNNNNNNNNNNNNNNNNNNNNNNNNNNNNNNNNNNNNNNNNNNNNNNNNNNNNNNNNNNNNNNNNNNNNNNNNNNNNNNNNNNNNNNNNNNNNNNNNNNNNNNNNNNNNNNNNNNNNNNNNNNNNNNNNNNNNNNGUUAACGGCCGUUUAAAUAUUAAUGACGUGGCAUUAUAAAUUAAUUUUAUAUGAAUAAUUAUUAAUAAAUAUUUGUGUGAUCAGGAUUUUAGAAGGGUAAAUUUGGAAUAGAAAAUAAUUUCUUCUUCCUUCGCAGAACCCAAACAUAGCUCCCACUUCAUCUUCUUCCUCCGCAAAACCCAAAGUUCAUCUUCUUCCUCAAACCAACCCCAAAACAGAAAUUUGCAUAUCUCGGAAUUUCGAUCUUUUUNCUCAGACCGAACAAAAAUAACCAAAUCCUUUAUAAAACCCUAAUUUCGAUCUUUUUCCCCAAUUCAAUUUGGGAUUUUUCUUAUCCUUUCCGGUUUGGUUUGGUCUGCUUACAGGGGAACCAUUCUUCUUCCCCUUCGUUUUCCUCUUCUAGGUCUCUUGGUCAAGCCGCAAAGCCCGACACUCUCUGUCGAGCCCGCCACCGUCACAGUAUAGCCCGCCGCCAAUGCUGCCAAGAGCCGAUGGAGCUUCAUAGGGUUAGUGGCGAUUCUCCCUCUGCUUCUUUUGUUCUGAUAAUUGUAGCCAUCUCCCUGUAUUGGGUUUCGUCUUCUGUAUGUAUCUACUGUGUGAUGAACCGGAAGAGAGGAUUUGAUGCUUCGAAUCCAAGAAUUUGGAUGGAUUAGUGUGUGAUGAUGGGGAAGCGUAGUGGAGAUUAGGGGGCUGAUUUGGUCUUCUCAGUUUUGAUUUGAAUCUAUUGGAUGCAUACAGAGGGUGGGAGAGUUUGNGCGUGAGGGAAGAUGGUGCUUCUUGUGCCCNAGUUGAAGAUGAUGGGCGAAUCAAAUUCCUUAUGUUUAAUGGAUGAAAUUGGCUCCAGUAGGGUGUCGAAUGAAAUUUCAAUUUGCAUUUUGAGAAGUUUCGUUCUUGUUUCCCAGUUUAGGUUUUGAGUGUCAAAAUUCUGGUUUGGGAAAUCUUGUGCUCUUGAUCUGGUUUGAUCUUUUGCAGUGGUUAUGAUGGCAGCGACAACCGUUUCGUGGUGGUUGACAACGGAGUUGCUCCUUUCUAACAUGAGAUUAUCGUGGUGGCUCCCACAGAAAACCCAGAGAGCGAAAAUGGUGAAAAUGGUCUCCUCUGUUUUCCAUUUUUCUUCUUCGAACCCAAAUCACCGAAUUCUUCCGAUAAUAGAUCUGAGCUUUUUUCCUUUAAAUCUUAGGGUUUUGAAUUUUUGGGAUCUGGAUAGGUUUGUGAUCUUGAGAAGAUUAGAGUUUGUAGAUGUAGUAUUUUAAUGUUUGGUAGUACUGUUGGGUGAUGUUAUUUGGGAAGAAGAUGAAUUCAGGUUCUGGAGAGGAGGAAGAAGAAAGUUCUCACUUUGCCCUUCUAUAAAAUCUAUAUUCAUUAAUAGUUUUUAAUAUAAAAUUAAUUUAUAAUGCCACGUCACCAAAUUUAAACGACCGUUAACUAUUUUUAACGAUAGGGACUGAAUUGCUUCAAAUUAGCACUUUUGAGGACCCAAUUGGGAAGUUUUAUAAGAACAGGACCAAAAUGGGAAGACUUUACGAAAACAGGGACGCCUAAGUGGUUUUAACCUUAUUUAUAUAAGACAAAUGUAUACGUACGUACGUGUGUAUAUAUAUAUAUAUAUAUAUAUAUAUAUAUAUAUAUAUAUAUAUAUAUAUAUAUAUAUAUAUAUAUUCGUGCAUAUAUAUUUCUCAUGUGUUUAAAUCGGUAACAAGGAAGGCUGUUACAGAACGAAUAUAUAUGUUAAACUACUUUUCAGUCGCUUAAAGCAGAACAAAAUUGGUUCCCACUAAUGUAAUAUAGGACUGACCAAGAUAUCAAUCCGCAGAUUCAACAAAAUUAAAUUUUAAAGUGUAGAGUAAAAGUCUUUUAUUUAUUUACUAAUUAUUAACUACUAAUGGAAGGUGGGGACAGUAAAAAAAAUGAAACUAAUUGUCUUCAAUCGUCAUGGUAAACUUCUUGCUGGUAAAUUUCUACUUACCCUUUUGACAUUUUGGUUUCUUUCAGGUUAGAGUUAUUUCUUUCCAAUUCUUAAACAUUGAAAUCUGCUUCUGGAAGCAAAAGGAAAGUGAUUCUUGAAGGAUGUUUUAACACAUGGUAUUUUUUUUCUUUGGUAAUAUUUUUACUUUCGAUUUUGUUACUGUUAUAUUCUCUAGCAACCACUGUCACAAGUGCAGAAUAGUGUCUACUUCACUUUUUCAACACUGGGAAACACUUUUGACUCAAUCUAAUGUUUUUCAACCAUGUAACAAUUAAAAGAUUGUUUUUUUAGUUCACACAUUUUUUCCUAAAACAUCUUAGACAUAUUUUACUAAAGUAAAACAAAAGAAAACGACUUAUGUUGUAAACAUCGUAUGAGUCGUAGCAUUUUUUUAGGUUUGUUUUCUCUGAUUUUAUUUAGUUAUUUUGAUUAUUACAAGAUAUUUUUACCAAGAAUUAUGUUGUGAGAGUAUUACUAUAUGAAGAUUGUAAAGUGAGAAAAUUUUGUUUUUUGGUUUAGAGUAUAUAAAUCUUUAUUCUCCAUUUUAAUUUUUGUAAUGAUGUUAGUGAAAGUGGAGCAUGAUAUAGUUUAAAAUUUGUACAUGUAUCAGUAGAUAAGUUAUUUACUGAUACUAAGUAUCUCUUUGUGAUUUAUGUAGUAGUUCCAUAAUACAAGAAGACCUUCAAAACAACAAGUUAUCGCCCUAACAGUAACACGGAAUCGAUCAACAUUUUACAACUGUGAGAUUCUUGGAUAUCAAUACACUAUGUAUGCUUUGCAUGAUAAUAAUUUUUAUGUGCAGUGUCUUAUUGAGGGCAUAGUAGAUUAUAUGUUUGGUGAAUUGGGACAAGUGUUGUUACAAAACUAUGACAUCCAAGUGAGAAUUUCUCUCCAAGACUAGGAGAACAUUAUUACUAUGCAAGGAAGAAAUGUUGUGAACGACCCACGUGGCAUUUCAAUGCAAAACUAUAGGAUUGGUGCGAGUCCCUGAGUUUGAAGUCGUGAAACAGAAUUUUCAAACAUAUCCAGAGAGGCCCAAAAAGAAUUAUUUCAGGACUAUCUAUUAUCAUGGAAAUUUUUAUGACUGGUAUAAUUAACCCAACUGUUGGUUUGAGUGGGGGGCACUAGUUUCGUCUUAACACAUUAUUCUAUAGCGAGUAUAAAAACGUUGAACCUAGUGAUCAAACUUCAAAAAAGUUAAAUGGAACAAAUUCAAGGUGAUUAUAUAUCUUGCUAAAGCCGAACCUUUUACCACGAAAAACUUCAUUGGUGACUCUCAUUGGCUCAAUUCUACUUAAUUUCCCUAUAAACUAGACUUGUAAAUUCUUUGAUGAAGUAUAUAAAUGAUUACAUGAUAAAAUAAAGCAACACAAAUCUUUUAAACUUAACAUGAAGAACUCAUUCAUAAUCUUGGUCACAUUCCUCAUCAUAUCCCAUGUGUUUAAACCACCAAAGUGAAAAGAAAGAUUGUUAUAAGACGAAUAUAUAUGUACGUACAUACAUAUAUAUGUAUGUCCAUAUAUAUUUCCCACAUGUUUAAACCGAUAGCAAAGGGGGUUGCUUAAGAACAAAUAUAUAAAUAUGUAUGUACAUACAUAUAUAUGUACUUAAUACGUACAUUACGUAGUACGUAUAUACACAUAAAUAUAUACAUACAUAUGUUUAGUCAUAGAAGGUUUAUUAUAUAUAUAAGACGAAUAUAUAUGUACAUACAAACACACACAUAUAUAAGAGUCCAUGUUAGAUCAUUUUAGUUUUCAAUUGCAUUGAAUUAGAUUAGUUUUAGGUUUUUGUAUUAAAUGUUAGGUUUUGUAAAAUUUUAGUUAAAAAUAGCUUUUUAGGGGUAAUUUUUAGUUUUUGUUAAUAAUUAGAAAAUUAAUGUUUUUAGAAUUUCUUUCAUUUGAUUUUUCUUUUCUUCCUUUAAUUUUGAAUUUUUUUUCUUUUCAUUUUUAUAGGUUGGGCUUGAUUGGGUUGCACCUGAAUUAAUAAUGCUAAAAUUUGUAUAUGUGCAGGAGCUGCAUGAAACAAUAUGCAUUGGGCUGGAGCUGAUCUGAAGGUUUGAAUUGGGCCGCUGAGUUUGUAUUGGGCCACACUUGAAAUUGAGCCAUUGAUAAAUGUUGCUGCUGGAAUUGCGCUGCACUGCAAGUGGAUAUAAGAGCUGACCUGGAGCACUGUUGCUGCUAAACUGGGUCGAAGUCUACAUUGGACUCAAAUGAUGCGUUGCAUUUUGGCACUGGAGCUGUUGCUGCCAUAGGGGUCUCUUCCCCUCAUUUUCAAUUAGCAAAGUUGUUGUAGUAGUGUUGUAAAAGAAUUGGGCCGCGGGUGAAAUUGACUGGCAUGGGCUUAAGUGGAACGACGCAGUUUUGUUGUGCAUUGGAUGACUUAGCAGCUGCUGUUUUCCUUAGGGGUCUUUUCCCUAAUCUUCAUUUGCAAAAGAGCUCGAUCAAUUUUCUAGAGAGGAAAAGAACCCAUCACAGAGACACUUUUCAUUUUAACGUUUUUGUUUUAGAGUAGACGCGAGAGCUUAGGGUUUUAGCGCAUUUUCAGACAAUUCGAGUUCUCGUGUUCCUACUCGCAUUUUGUUUGGUACUUUUUCCUUUAUUCUUAGUUUCUCUUUAAUAAAGUUUCUUUUAUGUUGAUGUGUUUUUGUAAUGUGCUUUAUCUGUUGAUUUGAUUGUUUUUUUUCUUCAAUGUUUUUGUGUUUCUUGUGUGCUUUUGAUUCGAAAAUGAGUUGAACUCGUAACUCUGCAUAUUGUAAUUCCUUUUUGGAAUUAAACAACCCCAAGGUGGGCGUGCAUGACCGAGAUGUCUUCUUUAGUCAGAGUUGAGUCAACGCUUAAAGAUUCAUCAGAUUUAUGUUUCUAUUUUUUUCUUUCUAUUAUGUGUGAUUGUAUGUUGUAAUUGAACUCUCUUUGAGAACUGUGAAGGAAAACAUCCACAUAUCUACAUCUGUUUUGGAUGUAAUAGGACCCUGGAUUGGGCCUAGGUUUUCGAGAGGUCUUCUUGAGAGAUGUUAAGCUUCAUAAUUGUCAAACUAAGUUCAAUUUCAGUGUUGUGUUUUCAUUUCUUGUGAAACUAUGCAUUGGUUGAAUAAUUGAGUGAGAAUUUCCACUUUAAGUUCUGAAAUAUGAACUAAAAAGACCUUGUGAUGGGCUUAACUUUCUCGGAAUGUCUUUCUGAAGAGGAAUUGAGACUCUUUCAUUCAAUCUAUUGCACAUUUGUCUCUAUUCUUUGCUUGUGCCUAAUAUUUUGGGUUUAUUGUUUCAUUUUUUUAGUAUUUUUGUUGAAUUGAUGUUAAAAUAGUCUUAGUUUUGAUUGUGAUUUUUACUUUACCUUCCAUUCGGUUCUGUUCUGUGAUCAUCUAGUCUUUACAUUAACAUUUGUUAGAAUAGGCAUACAACUAGGAGAUUCAUUUGCUCAUUGAUUUCAUAUGUUGAGCAUUAGGUUUCUUUAAUUUGCAUAUCCAGAUUCAUUAGUUUUAGAUCAUUUUAAUUGCAUAGGUUUUAUCUCAGUUUUAGGUAGUUAUAGUAAUUAGAUUUUAUUUCUGUUUUGAGUAGUUUAGACUAUUAUUUCCUUUUCUUUUAUUGCAUUUCAAUUUCUUUAUUCUUUUAACCAGAUUUUAGUUUAGUCUAGUUCCAAUUCUUUUAUCUUGUUUAGUUUUAUUCAUUUUAAUUUCCCCACCUUUUUAGUAGUUAGUAAAAAAUAAAAUAAAAGCAAGAAUUAACCAAACACUUUGAACUUAAUUAUAUCGAGUCUGAGGAUUGAUACCUAAAUUGUCCCUUUACACAUUACUGGGGAAACUUAGUUUAUUCUGAUUUUAGGCGACAAAAAUCAGUUCAACAAUAUAUAUAUAUAUAUAUAUAUAUAUAUAUAUAUAUAUAUAUAUAUAUAUAUAUAUAUAUAUAUAUAUAUAUAUAUAUAUAUAUAUUGUUUCGGUAGAUAUUUUGUGGGACUGAGACACUAACCUUUUCUGAUGUGGCUUUACUGCUUUCCGAUGCUUGAACUGGGUUCUCUGAUUAUCUUCUUUCCGCUUGGACCGCUCGAUCGCCUGCAAUCUUGGUCGUUCGGUGAUCUUCAAGCUCUGACCGUUUGUCCGCCUUCCCGAUGGAGAGGGGGAGGUACCUGCAAAAGGCACUCCGACGCCCAAGUCAGGCGUGUAUUGAAGAGCAUCGACUCUUGAUUGAAUAUUUAGUGAAGGGUUUUCACUAUUUGAGUAUUUGAGAAUAUGAGUUGAAUUUGAUUGGAAGGUGAUUCGAAGGUACCUGGCUUGUGACCCUGGCUCUCUAUUUAUAAUUUGUCUCAUGGUCCUUAAACUCAUAUAAGCCCAAUAGAAUAAAAUAUAAACAAAAUAUAAUAUAAAUAGACUUACAUGAAAAUCUUGUUAGUUGCUAAAUAUCUUUAAUAAGAUGUUCUUGAUUAUUCUAUAUUUUUAAUAAGAUAUAUCGUAACCACUCGGCCUUGAUAUUAUAUCGUACAUUAUGCCCCCCAAGUCCGAGUUAAUCGUUCGGUUUUAGCCGAGGUUAACUAUAGGACUUAUGGUUUGAAGGAGGCUGUGUUGGGGAGCGUGCAUCUAGGUGUUGCUCAUCUGUGGACCUCCCAGUAGGCAUGGAUGGUUUUCCGUGACCCAGGAGUUCCUGGAGAAUCUCCCAGUAGACAAGAAUGGUUGUUCGUGGCCCAAGAGUUCCUGGAGAAUCUCCCAGUACACAAGAACGGUUGUUUGUGAUGGGGGAAAGGGCCAAAACAAAUAACAACUUAUCAAGGAGUAAUAAUGCAGCAGAAAUUCAAUCCCCCUUCUUGCGAGAAUCUGCGAGGAGCACCAAACAAAUAAAACAAAAAAUAGAAUCCAAAGCACAAAGAGACACCAACAAUUUUUAACGUGGAAAACCCCUCAAUGCAAAGGUAAAAACCACGAGUCGUCCAGACCAAAGAAAAAUCCACUAUGAUCAAUAAUAGGGUACAAAAGAGUCUCCAAUAAUAAUACCAAAAGGUAUUUUCAAUAAGCCAAGUUAACUAAGCACAAAUGCUUACAAAUGAGAACAAAGAAGAUGAAAAUUCUCCAAAACAGGGCUGCUGGUGCGGGAUCGAUGUCUCCCAAUCUAGACCUCUGAUUGACGAUCCGAACGGUCAGAAUGAAGAACCAUAUAUAUGAAAGCUACUGUCCAAAAAUCAGCUCGAUCCAACGGUGAACGACUUCACCGCGACGAAAACACCAGUGCAAGUUUAGGGUUAUACGGGGAUGACUUUCUCUCUUUCUUUUUCUCUCACUUGGAUUUUGUCUCUCUUCAAAUGACUCUCUUGUGCUCUACUAAUCUGACCCAUCUCAUUUUAACCUAAUGAGACAUAAUGGACCAGAAUAUUUGGGCUUAUUCUCCACAUAGGAAGGGAGCCUAAUAACCCAACAAAUCUCCCCCUCACGACUAUGUGGAGAUAUCCGCCAAACCGGCGAUCUCACAACAAACCUCAAACUUUCCUCUUGGCAAUGCCUUGGUCAUCAUAUCAGCACCAUUAUCAUCUGUAUGAACUUUAGCUAGUUCCACCAACUUAGCAUCCAAAACAUCAUGUAUCCAAUGAUACCUCACAUCAAUAUGUUUGGAUUUAGAAUGAAAAGUUGGAUUCUUACCAAGAUGAAUAACACUUUGAAUGUCACAAUACAACAAGUAUUUAUCUUGCACAAAACCAAGCUCCUGCAAGAAUUUCUUCACCCAUAACAACUCCUUGCAUGCUUCAAUAAGUGCAAUGAAUUCUGCCUCAGUGGUAGACAACGCCACACACUUUUGCAACUUUGAUUGCCAAGCCAAGGCUCCCCCUGCAAACUGAAUCAAAUAGCCUGAAGUGGACUUUCUGGAAUAAAUGUCUCCAGCCAUAUCUGAAUUUGAGUAACGCACCAAAGUAGGCUUAUCACCUCCAAAACAAAGCCUCAAAGCACUAGUACCACGAAGAUACCUCAAAAUCCAUUUCACUGCAUUCCAAUGCUCUCUACCUGGAUUUGACAGAAAUCUGCUAACUGUGUGCAAUGACAGGCCUUGUACAUACCAUUGCAUACAUCAAACUACCCACCGCAGAAGCAUAAGGAACUUUGCUCAUAGCUAUCUUCUCAACUUCAUUUAAAGGACUAUGUUUAACACUUAAUUUAAAAUGAGUAGCAAGAAGAGUACUUACAACCUUAACAUUCUCCAUUUGGAAUCUUUGCAUCACCUUCUGAAUGUAGUGCUCCUGUGAUAGCCAAAGUUUCUUCUCUUUUCUAUCACGAGUGAUACUUAUACCAAGAAACUUCUUAGCAGCUCCCAUGUCUUUCAUAGCAAAUGACUCGCCCAGUUGCUUCUUCAACCUGUCAAUUUUGGAAACAUCUUUUCCAACAAUAAGCAUGUCAUCAACAUAUAGCAACAAUAUAAUGAAAUCAUUCUCAGAAAAUUUCCUGACAAAAACACAAUGGUCAGAAGUAGUCUUCUUGUAGCCUUGCUCACACAUAACAGACUCAAACUUCUUAUACCACUGCCUCGGAGCCUGCUUUAAACCAUAUAGGCUUUUUUGUAGCCUACACACAUAGUCUUCCUUGCCUUCAAUAAGGAAAUCAUCUGGUUGCUUCAUGUAAAUCUCUUCCUCCAAAUCACCAUGAAGGAAAGUUGUCUUCACAUCCAUCUGCUCAACCUCCAAAUCAAGAGUAGCAGCUAAACUUAACACAGUUCUGAUGGAUGUCAUCCUCACCACAGGUGAGAAAAUCUCAUUGAAGUCAACACCCUUUCUUUGUCUAAAGCCUUUCACCACUAAUCUGGCUUUAUAUCUGGUAGAAGUAGAAUUGCUCUCUUGCUUCACCCUGAAGAUCCACCUGUUCUCUAAGGCUUUCUUACCCUUAGGCAACUUCACCAAGUCAUAAGUGUGAUUAUCAUGCAGAGAUUUCAUCUCAUCCUACAUUGCAUCCAACGACUUUUGCUUUUCUUCACUUUCAACGGCCUCCUCAUAACAUUCAGGUUCUCCCUCAUCAGUCAACAUCACAUACUCAUCGGUAGAGCACUUCUUAGAAGGUUGUUUUGACCUGUCAGAUCUUCUGGGUUGAGCUUCAGGAAGCUCAAGUACAUCACCAAGACUAUCAUCAUGUUCCUCUUCAUCAACAUUAUCAAUAGGAACAUUCAAGCUAUCUCCAACCUGCUCAUUAUCAAUAUCACCAUGUUGUUCAUCAUCAUGAACAUCAAUAUCCAAAUCAUUAAUAGACAACCGAAUUGGAUCAACAUCAGUCACAUUACCGUCUUCCUUAGGAGUAGACUUCUCCACCUUAUUAAUAUCUUUAAUGAUUUGAUCUUCCAUGAAUUUCACAUCACGACUUCUAACAACUUUCUUUUCAACGAGGUCAUACAACUUGUAGCCAAAUUCAUCCUAACCAAAACCAAUGAAGAUGCAUUGCCUUGUCUUCACAUCCAACUUGGAUCUUUCAUCCUUCGGAACAUGAACAAAUGCUUUACAACCGAAGACACGCAAGUGAUCAUAAGUGACAUUCUUGCCAAACCAAAUCUUGACUGGCACCUCAGAGUUCAAAGCAACUGCAGGACUUAAAUUAAUAACAUGCACUGCUGUAAACAAUGCCUCACCCCAGAAAUGCUUAGGCAAUUUUGCUUCAGAAAGCAUACACCUAACUCUUUCAAUCAAUGUCCUGUUCAUACUCUCCGCUAAACCAUUUAGUUGAGGAGUUUUGGGAGGAGUCUUCUCAUGUGCAAUACCAUACUGUCUACAAUAAGCAUCAAAUGUGUUACCAAUAAGGAGCAUUGGUAAAUCCUGAAGAAUUGUUUUGAUGAUUAUGCAAGAAGUGGUAUUUGAAGAGAACAUUAGAAUUAUUUAAAAAGCAACUUGUAGAAUUUGGAUGUAGUAGGAAAAUAUUAAACCUUGUAAUUUUUCCUGGAAUAAUCGAUUAUGGACAAGCUAUAGUCGAUUAUCACUUGCAUUUUGUACUAGAAUAAUCGAUUAUCAUGAAGCAAUAAUCGAUUAUCACAAGUCAUACUUGAAUAAUCGAUUAUCACUUCAUAUAAUCGAUUAUCAAUUUUUGAAAAACAUGUAACGGACUUGAAUAACCGAUUAUCACUUACAAUAAUCGAUUAUUCGUGGCAGUUGGAGCUGACCUUUGGCAUUCAGAGUAAUUGGCUAUAUAAUUGGCUUUUGUAAACUUCAGAAGCAACGUUUUUGAACUGAGAAGCUUAAUAGAACACUGUUUGUCAAAGGAAAUUUCUUAGAAGGUUUGUUCAAAGUUCCCUUGCUUGGUCUCGUGAAAGGAGAGGCUCGCGUAUCGUGUGUCGAUAGCCGGAGCAGACUCUCUUCGAGUUAGCAAGGUGCUCUGCCUGGUCUCGUGAAAGGAGAAGCUCGCGAAUCGUUGGUCGAUUGCCGGAGCGAUUCUCUUUGAGUUGUCAGAGUGGUCUUCUUCCGGUUCGCUCGUCGAAGGAAGGUUCUUUUAUGUUUUGUUCACUUAUUGUAAAUCUGUGAGAUUGUUUUUCGUGGAACUGUUAAUCACUUUUUACAGUGAUUAAUGACUGGACGUAGAUUCUGUUGAAUCGAACCAAUAUAAAAAUACUUGUGUGAUUUUUCUAUUCCCUACACUUAUUUCAUUUUACGCAUAUUAAGUGUUUGAUAAAUUUUCUUAAAGAAAAUUGAUUUGUGAAAAAGGACCAACUUGUUUGUUAAAAGUGACCGAACACGCUUAUACGCUACUCUAAGUUUUAAUUCCGCUGUGUUAUACUCUUCGAACCAUACCCCUACAAUACCAAAAAAAUGGUCCACAAUACUCACCACCAUUGUCAAUACGAAUGCGCUUCAGCUUCUUGCCUGACUGCCUCUCAACCAAGGCAUGGAAUUCUUUAAACUUGUCCAACACUUGGUCCUUUCUCUGUAGUGCAUAAACCCAAAGCUUCCUGGAACAAUCAUCAAUAAAAGUAACAAAGUAAAGUGCACCACUAAAAGACUUUACCUUUAACGGGCCACAAACAUCAGAAUGCACCAAUUCAAGCAACUCUGACUUCUUGGAGGGAGGAUGCUUCUUGAAGGAUACUCUGGUUUAUUUACCAGCCAUGCAGUGAGAACAUUUCUCCAACUCUACAUUCUUCAAUCCUGAGAGAACAUCCUUUUUAGCUAAGCAGUUAAGCCCCUUUUCACUGAUGUGCCCAAGCCUUCUGUGCCACAAAGAUGACUCUAUAUACACGGCAUUCACAUUGUCUUUAGCAACCAAAGCUUUUUUUUCUAAUAAAGCUUAGAGUUGUUCUCCCCUUUAGCCACAAUCAAGUUACCUUUGGUGAGUUUCCACUUUCACCCAGAACCAAAGUGGCUAUCAAAUCCACCAUCAUCAAGUACCUGCACAGAAAUCAAGUUAAAGCGAACAUCUGGAGCAUGUUUAACUCCUCUAAGCAACAACUGCAUCCCCAUGUUGGUUUGCAAGUGAAUAUCACCAACACCAAUAACCUUAGACACCCCAUCAUUACCCAUCUUCAAUACUCCAAAAUCACCAGGUGUAUAAGAUGUGAAGAACUCCUUCCUGGAUGUAACAUGCAGUGUAGCACCACUAUCAAUUAUCCACAUGCUCUCAUCAGAAACAAGAUUAAUAGUGUCAUAAUCACGAAGGCAAACAAGGUCACCAUAUGUAGUAGUAGUAACACGAUCACCAUCAUCAUUAUUUAUUUCUCUUUGCUUACCCUUUUUGUCUUUGUUCUCUUUCUUCCACAAAAAAACAGUUCUUCUUUAUAUGCCCUAUUUUGUGACAAUAGUGACACUCCACAUUCUUGUACCGAGACUUGGACUUGCUCCUGCUUUUAUCUCUACCACUGUUUUGUUCUUUCUUCUGGCUUCUCCACCUAUUAUUUGUAAUAAGCACUUCUGAAUGAGAUGAAGUACCCUGUGUCUUCCUUCUCAUCUCCUCAUUAAGAGCACCACCCUUUGCCAUUUGCAAAGAAAUAUCACCAUUAGGGGUAGCACUUAUCAUGGAAACCUGAAAUGUCUCCCAUGAAUCCGAUAAAGAUUUUAACAGGAACAAACCCAAUAGAUCAUCAUCAAAUUUUAUACCCACUCCUGCUAAUUGAUCAUAGCGUCCUUCAAAUUCACUCAAGUGAUUUGAAACAGGAGUUCCUUCCUUGUACUUCAACUCCACAAAAUUUUUCAGCAAGUAUAAUUUAUUAGUCCCUGACUUAGAGGCAUACAAGGACUCAAGCUUAUCCCAUAGGCUUCUCGCAUGCGUCUCAUUAGCAACAAAAUUAUAGACAUUGUCAUCAACAAACUGUCUAAUAAAUCCACAUACCUGUUGAUGUUCAAAAUCCCAUUCUUCAUCUGACUUGGAUUCUGGCUUAUUGGAAGCAAAAACAGGAAGAUGCAAAUUUUUCACAAAUAGCAAGUCCUUCAUCUUGACUUACCAUAAGUGAUAAUUUUCUCCAUUCAACGGAAUCAAUUUUGUAUGUGCCUCCAUCAUUCACGCAAAUUAAAAAGUCCCUUAACCAAAGAGCUUUGAUGCCACUCUGAUGGGGGAAAGGGCCAAAACAAAUAACAACUUAUCAAGGAGUAAUAAUGCAGCGGAAAUUCAAUCCCCCUUCUUGCGAGAAUCUGCGAGGAGCACCAAACAAAUAGAACAAAAAAUAGAAUCCAAAGCACAAAGAGACACCAAUAAUUUUUAACGUGGAAAACCCCUCAAUGCAAGGGUAAAAACCACGAGUCGUCCAGACCAAAGAAAAAUCCACUAUGAUCAAUAAUAGGGUACAAAAGAGUCUCCAUUAAUAAUACCAAAAGGUAUUUUCAAUAAGCCAAGUUAACUAAGCACAAAUGCUUACAAAUGAGAACAAAGAAGAUGAAAAUUCUCCAAAACAAGGCUUCUAGUGCAGGAUCAAUUUCUCCCAAUCUAGACUUCCGAUUGACGAUCCGAACGGUCAGAAUGAAGAACCAUAUGCCUGGAACCUACUGUCCAAAUAUCAGCUCGAUCCAACGGUGAACGACUUCACAGUGACGAAAACACCAGUGCAGGUUUAGAGUUAUGCGAGAAUGACUUUCUCUCUUUCUUUUUCUCUCACUUGGCUUUUGUCUCUCUUCAAAUGACUCUCUUGUGCUCUACUAAUCUGACCCAUCUCAUUUUAACCAAAUGAGACAUAAUGGACCACAAUAUUUGGGCCUAUUCUCCACAUAGGAAGGGAGCCCAAUAACCCAACAAUUCGUGGCCCAGGAGUUCUUGGAGAAUCUCCCAAUAGACAAGAUUGGUCGUCUGUGGCCCAGGAGUUCCUGGAGAACUUCCCAGUAGACGAAAUUGACCGUUCGUGACCCAGGAGUUCCUGGAGAACAUCCUAGUAGACGAGAGUGGUCGCCGUGGCCCAGGAGUUCCUGGAGAACAUCCCAGUAAACGAGAAUGGUCGUCCGUGGCCCAGGAGUUCCUGGAGAACUUCCCAAUAGACUAAAAUGAUCGUCCGUGGCCCAGGAGUUGCUGGAGAACUUCCCAAUAGAUGAAAUUGAUCGUCCGUGGCCCAGGAGUUCCUGGAGAACCUCCUAAUAGACGUGAAUGGUCGUCCGUGACCCAAGAGUUCCUGGAGAAGAUCCCAGUAGACGAGAAUGGUCGUCCGUGACCCAGGAGUUCCUGGAAAACAUCCCAGUAGACGAGAAUGGUCGUCCGUGGUCCAGGAGUUCCUGGAGAACUUCCUAGUAGACGAAAAUGAUCGUUCGUGGCCCAGGAGUUGCUGGAGAACCUCCCAGUAGACGUGAAUGGUCGUCCGUGGCCCAGGAGUUCCUGGAGAACUUCCCAGUAGACGAAAAUGAUUAUCCGUGACCCAUUGACGCUGUUGUGGUUUUAGCAAUGGUUGUCGGAGUGGGUAUUGUCGACGAUGCGGUGGUUGGCCCGAAUGGUGCGACUGUCGUUGCGAAUGUUGGACUGCGCGACUGACUGUAGCAUUUGUGUAAUGAUGAGGCCUGGUUUGGUCUGGUGCGGUGGAGAUGGCGUCGUCGUCGGUGGCCACGUAAGCUGAAGACGCAAGUUUUGCUGCUAGUGUAAGUGGCAUUCGCCCAUGUCGAGGAGGCAGUGGAUGAUGAUUUCGACAAUGUGGUAAGAGUAGCAGUCGCAGAAGACGGCGAGCCAGUUGCCGCAGCAAUCGGUGCUAGUUUGGGCUCGGAUUUGGUUUGGAUAUAAGAGAUAAAGUUGGUGCUGGGUAAGGCCAGAUUUGAAACGGUGUCGGAGGUUUCAUCGCUGCCGGAAGAUUCGGCAGGUGGACUGGACGGUGAGAAGAAUGUUGCGGAUGCCGGACCGAACAGAGCGGAGAAUGCCGCAACGUGACUAUGCUGGCUGCUGCGUUUGGCGGAGACCAGACGACGGAGAUUCCUUCUCUUUACCGAAGGGUUUAGGAUGGGGUUAAACCCUUCUUUGCAAACUUACAAUUAUUUUCUUCCACAUCUUGCGAGGAGAUCUCAAGCCAACUGGGAGACUUUGUAAGGCAGCGGAGAAGAGGAUACAUUCUCCCUACGGCGGUGCAUAUGACCCAGGGCUGGUAAUGAUUUGGAAUUCUAUUUUUUGCAAAUUGUUUUGCAAAUUGUGAAUCCUAGAGUUCAACAGAAAGCACCAAGAAGACCAGAGAGCAAAUAUAACAUUUAAAAUACAAUAGUGGAUGAUAAUCAAUGCUACAUGAGCCUUACGCAAUGUUUGAAUGAAAAAAUAUGAUUCCUAUUGCAUGAUUAUGAAAUCCCGGGAGGUUGGGAUUAUAUAUUAUAUUAUUAACUAUAUUAUAACAAUAUUCGUCAUAUAUAUGUUAUUAUAUUAUUACUUAUCUAUAUCUUUCAUAUGAAACGAAUGUGCCAGCAUAUAUAUAUAUAUAUAUAUAUAUAUAUAUAUAUAUAUAUAUAUAUAUAUNNNNNNNNNNNNNNNNNNNNNNNNNNNNNNNNNNNNNNNNNNNNNNNNNNNNNNNNNNNNNNNNNNNNNNNNNNNNNNNNNNNNNNNNNNNNNNNNNNNNNNNNNNNNNNNNNNNNNNNNNNNNNNNNNNNNNNNNNNNNNNNNNNNNNNNNNNNNNNNNNNNNNNNNNNNNNNNNNNNNNNNNNNNNNNNNNNNNNNNNNNNNNNNNNNNNNNNNNNNNNNNNNNNNNNNNNNNNNNNNNNNNNNNNNNNNNNNNNNNNNNNNNNNNNNNNNNNNNNNNNNNNNNNNNNNNNNNNNNNNNNNNNNNNNNNNNNNNNNNNNNNNNNNNNNNNNNNNNNNNNNNNNNNNNNNNNNNNNNNNNNNNNNNNNNNNNNNNNNNNNNNNNNNNNNNNNNNNNNNNNNNNNNNNNNNNNNNNNNNNNNNNNNNNNNNNNNNNNNNNNNNNNNNNNNNNNNNNNNNNNNNNNNNNNNNNNNNNNNNNNNNNNNNNNNNNNNNNNNNNNNNNNNNNNNNNNNNNNNNNNNNNNNNNNNNNNNNNNNNNNNNNNNNNNNNNNNNNNNNNNNNNNNNNNNNNNNNNNNNNNNNNNNNNNNNNNNNNNNNNNNNNNNNNNNNNNNNNNNNNNNNNNNNNNNNNNNNNNNNNNNNNNNNNNNNNNNNNNNNNNNNNNNNNNNNNNNNNNNNNNNNNNNNNNNNNNNNNNNNNNNNNNNNNNNNNNNNNNNNNNNNNNNNNNNNNNNNNNNNNNNNNNNNNNNNNNNNNNNNNNNNNNNNNNNNNNNNNNNNNNNNNNNNNNNNNNNNNNNNNNNNNNNNNNNNNNNNNNNNNNNNNNNNNNNNNNNNNNNNNNNNNNNNNNNNNNNNNNNNNNNNNNNNNNNNNNNNNNNNNNNNNNNNNNNNNNNNNNNNNNNNNNNNNNNNNNNNNNNNNNNNNNNNNNNNNNNNNNNNNNNNNNNNNNNNNNNNNNNNNNNNNNNNNNNNNNNNNNNNNNNNNNNNNNNNNNNNNNNNNNNNNNNNNNNNNNNNNNNNNNNNNNNNNNNNNNNNNNNNNNNNNNNNNNNNNNNNNNNNNNNNNNNNNNNNNNNNNNNNNNNNNNNNNNNNNNNNNNNNNNNNNNNNNNNNNNNNNNNNNUAUAUAUAUAUAUAUAUAUAUAUAUAUAUAUAUAUAUAUAUAUAUAUAUAUAUAUAUAUAUAUAUAUAUACCGUUAUAAUAUAAAUAAUUUUUAGUUGUUAUAAUGUGGAGAUAUUAUUCUUCUUUUAUAUUUACUCCUACUCCUCACAUUGAAGUGACAUAUGUUGUUGCCUUAAUUUUGCAGUGCAUGAAUAUAUACAUAUAUUUCUAGCAUUUAUAUAGAAAAUUUGUCGUAAUAUAUAAUUUUCGUAUUUCAGAUAAUACUUAUCUUGUUGAUGAAACUUCCUGCAAAGAUGACGAUUUUUGUUGUAUAGUCUUUGUUUUGCUGAAAAUUCCUAGUGUUGAUCUGGAGUAGAUGUUGAUACCAAGCGCUUGUCUUGGUUUCUCGUGGUUUUCAAUGAGAUGUCUCCGGCCCCACGGUGGGGGCCAAAAUGUUUCGGUAAAUAUUUUGUGGGAUCGAGACACUAACAUUUUCUGACGUGGUUUUACUGUUUUUCGAUGCUUGAACUGGGUUCUCUGAUUAUCUUCUUUCUGCUUGGACCGCUCGAUUACCUGCAAUCCUGGCCAUUCGGUGAUCUUCAAGCUCUGAUCGCUCGUCCGCCUUUCCGAUGGAGAGGGGGAGGUACCUGCAAAAGGCACUCCAACGCCCAAGUCAGGCGUGUAUUGAAGAACCUCGACUCUUGAUUGAAUAUUUAGUGAAGGGUUUUCACUAUUUGAGUAUUUGAGAAUAUGAGUUGAAUGUGAUUGGAAGGUGAUUCGAAGGUACCUAGCUUGUGACCCUUUCUCUCUAUUUAUAAUUUGUCUCAUGGUCCUUAAACUGAUAAAAGCCCAACAGAAUAAAAUAUAAACAAAAUAUAAUAUAAACAGACUUACUUGAAAAUCUUGUUAGUUGCUAAAUAUCUUUAAUAAGAUAUAUCGUAACCACUCGGCCUUGAUAUUAAUAUAUAUAUAUAUAUAUAUAUAUAUAUAAAGUGGAAUAUAUCAAAAGAAUUUGGUAGUUUCUCCAAUCAAGAUUGCCCUAUUUUUGUUGGUGAUGGAAGACGCAUCAUUAUCGUUGCCACAGUUAAAAAUGCACGUGAUGAUUAAGGUACCUUGGAAACUACCAUUGUAGGUGAGUUUAUCAAUGUCUGCAUACAAGCUACAACUUAUCUCUUUUUUUAAUUUAUUUAUCUAUGACUUUAAAUGGUUAAACAUGAUUGUAGAAGGAAAAUAAACUAUUUUUAAAUUAAUUUUGGUGGUACAAUUCUUGAAAGUACAAAUUUCUUGACGAGUAACAUAACUUUCAAUAAUACAACAAGACCUUCAAAAAAACAAGUUAUCGCCCUAAUAGUAACAGGGAAUCGAUCAACAUUUUACAACUGUGAGAUGCUUGGAUAUCAAUACACUAUGUAUGCUUUGCAGGAUAAUAAUUUUUAUGUCCAGUGUCUUAUUAAAGGCACAAUAGAUUUUAUGUUUGGCGAAUUGGGACAAGUGUUGUUAUAAGACUAUGACAUCCAAGAGAAAAUUUCUCUCCAAGAAUAAGAGAACAUUAUUACCAUGCAAGGAAGAAAUGUUAUGAACGACCCACGUGAAGUUUUAUUGCAAAAGUGUAGGAUUGGUGCAAGUCCCCGAGUUUGAAGUCGUGAAACAGAAUUUCCAAACAUAUCUAGGGAGGCCCUUGAAGAAUUAUUCCAGGACUAUUAUCAUGGAAGUUUUUAUGACCGAUAUAAUUAACCCAAUUGUUGGUUUGAGUGAGAGGGCACUAGUUCCGGUCUUAAAACAUUAUUUUAUAGCCAGUAUAAAAACAUUGAACAUGGUGCUCAAACCUCCAAAAGAGUCAAAUGGAAGGGAUUCAAGGUCCAUGUUGUUGAAGUCGAGCCUUUUACUCCGAAAAACUUCAUUGGUGACUCUCAUUGGCUCAAUUCUACUGGAUUUCUUUAUAAACUAGACUUGUAAAUUCUUUGUUGAUGUAUAUAAAUGAUUACUUAAUAAAAUAAAUCAAUUACAAAUCUUUUGUCCACCUUAAUAAGAUGUUAGUGUUUGAAUGUGCAAGUGUUGAGUUCUAGUAUUUGUUAUUUAUUAUUUGUACCAUGUGAGUACCGGUCAACACAAAACAUGAAUGAUCAAUUCUAUCUCGGUAAAGAGACUGCCAAGCUUGGACAAGCUUAAAAAGGAACUAACCCAAAAGGUCAAUUCAUAGCUCGGAGUGCAAGCCAAGUGGCAUCUGGUCUUCUCACCAUCAAAGUACCCAACACAACUCUACAUUGUAGAAUAUGAAAGAAAUAACAUUACUACAAAGUAACAUUAUUAAGGAAUUCAAGACAUAUUUUUGCUCUAAGUAGAAAUUAUGAAGAAAAAGUACAACCUCUCCUCCCUAUUACAUUCCUUUAUAUAUAAAAAAAGUUCGUUACAGCCAUUUUUCCCAUAAUUCCCCACGAAAUCUGAAAAGCUGCACAAAAUCUGAAUUUUCAAAAACUCUUAAAAGUUGCUCCAAAAAGAUGUAUUGUCGCUACUUUUGUUGUGUGAGUCUAUGCUACUGCAAAAUUUAUUUUGUCUAUUAAGGUGGUAGUGCACAGUUUAAUUAACGCAGCUCUUGGGUUCAACCUUCUUCUCUUUCCAAGCUCUUAUAUGGCCCAACUCUUACUUGCCCGAGCUCUAAAUUAACAGCUCAUUAACUUCGAUAACUUGACACAUUACCUCUCCAACAUCUCAACCCGACAUCAACAGCCUGACAAACUCUCAACUCGGCAUCAACAUUCCAUCAACUUAAACGUAGCUUGGCACUCCAACCUAAUGUUUCUUCAGAUGCAUAACUUUUGCCUCUUGGUUGUUGCCACGGUAAAAAAAGUUGUUUUGUCUCCUUUUAGUGUGAGAGUGUGCUCAGGUCUUAAGGCCAAAGAAUAUAAUCAAAGAAGUUUAAUUAUUAAAAGGACUUCCCCUAAUGAUACUUACAAAACAAGAUACCUACUCAUCGACUACGUGAGCCACCCACUCAUAACUAGGUAGACACGGAAGUGGUCGAGUGAACUCGUCUCUCUCAUCAAUCGUGUCAAAUUAGAAUAAAGUAUUGGUGCCUUCAUGUAAAAAUAAAGAAUUCUAACUACCAUAGUUACAAUCCAAUCCAACUUUUAAUGGAAGUUUGGUUAACUAAUGAAACUUCUUUUUCCAAAAAUGUGUUUCUAUCAUGAAGUUUUGCAUAAUUUCUUAACAUUACUAAAAAAAGUCUAAUUAAUUUUAGAAUUAUGUUUCAGUUAUUCAAAAUAUACAUUAACUUUUGUUGAAUUCCUAGGCUAAUUUUUCACAUACUGAUUGUUAGAUCAUUUUGUACUUCUUAUUUAUAUGUGUUUGCUUUUAUGUAAAUCUACAAAGUAACAUCUACUAAGCCUAACAUGAAGAACUCAUUCAUAAUCUUGGUCACAUUCCUCAUCAUUAUCCAUGCGUUUAAACCACCAAAGUGACAACAAGGGUUGUUGUAGGACGGAGAAACCUCGUUGAGCCUUACCUAUGAUAUAUUCAGAUAAAAGUAGAAUUAUCACUACAAUCUCUGAAGCAAUAUUAGUUGCUCAUGUGUGUGUUUGUUCUAUUUCAAAUUUUGUUUUGUUUCAAGGAAGCUCUCAGGCUCAACCUUCUUCUCUUCCCGAGCUCAUAUCUAGCUAAGCUCUUACCUGUAGAUGCUACAUCAACAACUCAAUAACUUCGACAACUCGGCAUCAACAACCUAACAACAUCUCAACUUGGCAUCAAUACCCCAGCAACUUAAACAUAGUAUGACAAUUCAACCUAAUGUUUCUUAAGAUGCACAACUUUUGCCUUUUGGUUAUUGUCACGGGCUAAAAAGUUAUUUUGUUUCUUUUUUGUGCAAGAGUGUGCACAGGUCUCAAGGCCAAAGAAAAUAAUCAAAGAAGUUUUAUUAUUAACAAACAUUCCCUCAAUGGUACUUACAAAACAAAAUAUUCUCUCAUCGACUACCCGAGCCACCCACUCAUAACCAGAUAUGCAUGGAAGUGGUCAAGUGGACUCCUCUCUCUAUUCGAUAGUGUCAAAUUAGAAUAAAGUAAUGAUACCUUCUUUAGAUUGUAUGAUUUGAAAAUAUUUUUUCUAUGAGAAAUUAUUUAAAUUUAAAAAUUAAUUAUUGAAAGAGUAAAAAAAAAAAAUUAUGCAUGUCAAAAGAGUGAAUUUUCUUUAUUAAUAUUAGGGAAAAAAUAUAUGUAUGUUUAAUUUUUUUACGAUGAUAAACAUUAAUAAAGUUAUUAUUAUUAUUAUUAUUAUUAUUUUCAUUAUAAUUAUAAAAUUAAAUUAAAUAUAUUUUAUAAGUUCAUUGUAAAAAUAUUUUAUUUACAAGUUUUACAAUUAAAAAAAUGGUUAAGUUUUAAAAAAUAGUUGAAUAAAAAAAUGGUUAAAUUUAAUAAAAUUAUCAUUUAAAGAUAAAAUUGUUAUAAUAAUUAUUAUUCUUAUUUUAUCCUUUAUAAUAUAAUUGCUAAUUUAUUUUCUUAAACUGACUAUAAUUUUCACAUUUUUUUUGUAAUCGUUACAUGUUCCAAUAUUUUCUUUUUUUCUCUAUAGAUUUCAUUAAUUUUUGUUUUUUUACCAUUUUUUCUUUCACAUUGAAUAUAUAUAUAUAUAUAUAUAUAUAUAUAUAUAUAUAUAUAUAUAUAUAUAUAUAUAUAUAUAUAUAUAUAUAUAAAAGUCGUGCACACAGGGGACGAAUUUGGAUUUCAAAAUAUGGCAUAUAGAAGUCCAAAGUCGUAUUUAUAGAAGAAAACAUUCAAUUUUUAUUUUUUUUAUAAAUAAGAAAUUGCGUAGAUAGAGAACUUCAGUCUAAAACUAAAACAUAAAACUUGACUCAAAAACAACGAAAAGUUUUAAUUUUUUUUUUUCUUAUAAUUUGAAGUCAUGGAUGAUGUUCACGAAUUUAGUUCAAAUGCACUACACUCAAAGGAUAGGUCUCGUCACACUUGGUGUUCUCGACACAAAGGAAUGAGCAAAAUCGCUCAUUUGUCAUUCCCUUAGGCCGGGAAUCAGCUACCCAUUGUACACAACUACCAAUAUUUAUGGGAGAAUAAUAUAUAUAUAUAUAUAUAUAUAUAUAUAUAUAUAUAUAUAUAUAUAUUAUUCUCAUUUACUAACUUUUUAAAAGGAAAAUAAUAUGUCAAGACUUUUUACCCAUUUAACAAUCAUUUUCCAUCUAUUUUUAUAAUUAUUUUAAAAGUUGUUGGCGCAAAAAUGGUUAGAUGAAAAACUAGAUAAUGGAAUGAUGUAUAUUUCAUUCAUGUUUUCGAGUUUGAGAUUGGGAAACUUAGGUCAAUAGUCGAACUUUCGUUUUUGACUGAGAGUUCUUUUUUCUUAAGCACGAGUUAUUUCUUUAUUAUUUUUUUGAUUUGUGCUUAGCUAUGAAACCAAUCAUUUUGUCAUUUGUCCAUUGUUUUGUAGAGUUUGCAUUUUCAUUUGCCCCAUUGAAAUGCAAGUUUGUUCUGGUUGACAAGUUUCUUAGAGGUGAGUUGUUCUUUUCCAAGUUCAAGUUCUUCCUUUCUUUUCUAUUCCAAGUUUAGAGAGAAAAAUAUUAAUCCGAACCUAGUAUUGUAGCUUAGAGGCCCAAUACGCGUUGGCCCAUUAUCUUGAAUGAAAGACAGAUACGUUCUGUCUGCGUGGCAUUUGCUGAGAAUGAAAGCAGAGUUAGAGAGAGAGGCUUCCAGACGCUCCGUCUGGAUGAAGAGAGAGAAGGAAGACGGUGGCCGGCAGAGCUCCGGCACGGCGGCGGUUGCCGUCGACGUAGAAGAGAGAAAUGAAGAUCGUGACAAGGUGAGUAUGAAAAACUUCUUCUUUUCUUAUUUGAAUGAACAUACGAAAUUACAAAGUAAUAUUGUUUCUGAUAAUCGAAAAAGGGGGGAGGAACUCUAUAUAAAUAGAGUUCCAGGUGAAGAAGGAAAAAUCGAAAACCUAACAACUAACCACUGUUCAACAAACAGUGAAGGACUGUCUUAACAAGACAGUUAAGAGAAUCGAAGGAUUCUCAAUACCCUUCCCUCAAGCUAGACUGUAUAUAUUGACCAGUCCAAGCUUGGGUAUGAUGUGUUUGAAGCUGACGCGAUGCGGAAACUUGGUGAAGACAUCAGCCAGUUGCUCAUCGGAUCGGACAGGGAGGAGAUGAAGAAGGCCUUCCUGGAUCUUUUCACGAACAACGUGACAGUCAAGCUCAAUGUGCUUGGUCUGUUCGUGGAAGCUCUGGUUAUGGGCAAUAUGACAAGCAGAUUUGUUAUCGCAAUAUAGGGUUGGAACUCCAGAUUCUUCAAUAUGAAGAUCUGCAAGUAAGUAGUGGAGCCACUGUAUUUCACAUACAGUGGCAGCAAGGGCUCUGUACUCAGCCUCCGUAGACGAUCUGGAAACAAUCUUUUGUUUCUUAGAUUUCCAGGAAAUAAGAGAUGUCCCUAGAAAUAUACAGAAACCCGUAGUAGAUCUCCUGGUGUUAGGGCAGGUAGACCAAUCAGAGUCACUAAAACCUUUUAGAUGCAUAGGUGAGUCAGCAGCGAAAAACAAUCCUUCACUGGUAGUAUAUUUGAUAUAUCUGAGAACAUGUUGAGCAGCCCGAAAAUGAUGUUCUGUAGGAAAUUGCAUAAAUUGACUAAGUAAAUUGAUGGUAUAGCAUAAAUCUGGUCUAGUAUUUGUAAGAUAAAGUAACUUCCCUAUCAGCCUUCUGUAGGGUCCAGGAUCAGUAAGUUGUUUAUCCAAUUUGUAUAAUGGGCUUGUGUCUCUAAGGAAGGGUGUAGUAGAAGGUUUGCAUCCCUCCAUUCCUGUUUCCUCAAGUAUGUCUAAUGCAUACUUUCUUUGACAUAAGUGAAUACCCUUCUUAGAUCUAGCAACUUCAAGUCCGAGGAAGUACUUGAGCUCUCCAAGAUUCUUUAUACGAAAUCUAUUAUGUAGGAGUUCUUUGACGCCAUUGAUUUCUUCCAAGGAAUUUCCUGCCAACACAAUAUCAUCCACAUAUACAAGCAAGGCAGUGAAAUAAGUACCAGUUCUCUUAGUGAAUAAUGAGUGAUCUGACUUAGAUUGUUUGUAGUUGACAGAAAUUAGGUAAGAGGAUAAUUUUUCAAACCAUUGUCUGCUUGCUUGUUUCAAGCCAUAUAGGGAUUUAUUUAAUUUGCAAACUUGUCCCUUUGUAUGAAUACCCAGUCCUGGAGGUGGAUGCAUAUAGACUUCUUCAUGAAGGUCACCAUGAAGAAAAGCAUUGUCAACAUCUAAUUGGUGUAAAAACCAAUUAUUUGAUGUAGCAAGGGCAAUUAAGAGUCUAACAGUGGUUAAUUUUGCAACUGGUGAGAAAGUGUCUAGAUAGUCUAUUCCUUCCUGCUGAGUAUACCCUUUUGCAACUAACCGUGCCUUGUGUCUUUCAAUACUUCCAUCAGCUCUAUACUUAGUUUUAUAUACCCACUUGCAUCCUAUAGGAGUCUUUCCUGGUGGUAGUUGUGUCAGGGACCAAGUAUUAUUGUCUUGCAGUGCCUUAAUUUCCUUCUGCAUUGCCUCUAUCCAUUCCCUUUUGUCUUUAGCUUCAUUGUAAGUCUGGGGUUCUUUAUUCCCAGUGAUAGUCAUGAUGUAUUUUGAAUGUUUCCCUAAUAAAUUGUCAUAGCAAAGUAUUUUAGAAAUCGGGUAAGGAGUUUUGAAGUUAUUUUUUACAGUUAAGGAAUGGUUCACCUGGUGGACAUAGUCUUCCAAAUAAGCAGGGGUCUUUCUAGUCCUUUCUGGUCUUCUGUGUCUGUAAUUUUCUUGAUUGUCAUUUGUGGUAGUAAAAUUGUCCAGUUCUUCAUCUUGGUUAAUAUCCUCAAGCUCAUCAUGUUGGUCUUCAUAAGUGGGAUAAUAGUCCUUUGAAAGGUCAGUGAAGAACUCAUCUGCAUCCUCUUUACUUUCUGGGCUUUGCUAAUUGUCCUGAAAAUUCUUAUAAGGUAAUAUUUCUUCAUGAAAUAUUACGUUUCUGCUUAUGAAUAGUUUCUUAGUGUUUAUAUCUAAAACAAUAUACCCUUUUAUACCACUUUUGUACCCUAGAAAAACUCCUUUUUCUAGCCCUAGGGUCUAACUUGGUUCUACUGUUUUCAAGUGUAGAAGCAAAACAUUAACACCCAAACACUUUGAGAUCUAAGUAGGUAGGAGGUAGAUUAUAAAGCAUAUCAUAAGGAGUCUUAUUUUCAAGACUAGGAGAAGGCAACCUAUUUAUCAAAUACACAGCGUACCCAAUAGCAUAAGACCAGUAAACUUUGGGUAUAUUAGAGUGAAAAAGAAGACUGCGUGUAACAUUGAGUAUAUGUUGGUGUUUUCUUUCGACUACAGAAUUUUGUUNUGGAGUCUCAACACAACUUCUUUGAUGUAUGAUACCAUGCAUAUUAUAGAAAUUAACACAAUUAAACUCUGGCCCAUUGUCGGAUCUAAUGAUUUUGAUCAUUUUAUUAAACUGAUUCUUGACUUUGAUAAUAAAAUUUUGUAAUAGAUCUUUGGUUUGUCCUUUAUUAUUCAUUAGGAAAACCCAUGUGUGUCUGCUGUAAUCAUCAACUAUACUAAGAAAGUAUUUAUGUCCAUGAAUAGAAACAGUAUUUAAUGGCCCCCAAAUAUCACAAUGGAUAACUUCAAAACAUUCAGUGGUAACAGAUAAGCUUUUCUUAAAAGGUAACUUGUGCUGUUUGGCAAAAUGGCAAGUAUCACAUACAAUAUCAGUUUUGAUCUUAACAUAAGGAAACAUUUCACAUAUGCGUUUUACAACAUGAUGUCCAGGAUGCCUUAGUCUAAGAUGCCACAGAUUAACAUCAGUCUUUUUAAAAGAGAAAACAGCCUUGUCAAUAUCUCUUUGUUCUGGUUUAGGGAAAUCUUGUAGAUAGUAGAGACCAUUCCAAGGUUUAGCAUAUCCAAUCGUCUUCAAUGAACGAUUCUCCCUUAUCUGGCAGUUCUCAUAGGAAAAUAUUAGAUUGCAAUUUAAGUCUUUGAUGAGACUCUGAACAGAAAUCAGAUUAAAACAGAAAUUAGGUAUGUAAAGAACAUUGAAAAGGAUAAAAUUCUCAGUAAAACGUAUAGUUCCAGCAUAUUCAGUAGUGAUGACAGUUUUAUUUGGCAGAGUAAUGGUAAUAGGUUUAAUUUUGUAGAAAAUAGUAAAGUUAGUUUUAUCAUGUGUGACAUGGUCUGUUGCACCCGUGUCAAUAACCCAGGAAGAAUUACCUGGUUUGUUUUCUGUUUCUUGCCUCUGAACUUGGUUAAUCUUGUGAAUGGAUGAUUCUUCUGUUUUUUCUAUCAUCUUUAAAAGUUUCUGCAUUUGUUCUGGUGUGAAGAGAUUGGGAUUACAGUUGUUGUUAAUCUGAUGUUGAGUCUUCAGGAUGCUCUCAGAGUCAUUGUUGUUUUGAUUGUUGUUUUGAAAGGCAUUGACACUGUUCCAGUCACUCUUUUUAUCUUCCUUCUUAUACCAUGGGGGAUACUCGUGCUUAGAAUAGCACUCAUCAACCGUGUGAUUCAUCUUAUUACAAUAAGAGCAUUGCUUUCCAUAAUUUGGGUUUCUUCCCCUUCCUCUACCUUGUCCACGAAUUCCAGUAGCACGUCCCUGAUUCCUCCAACUCUGGUCAGGUUUCCACUGAUUGUUUCUUUUAGCCAUGUUAACCAGAAUUCUGGAAUCUGUGUUACUCUGUUUUUCCUGUCUUUCUUGUUGGAUAAUAAAAGAGAAAACACGAUUAACAUUUGGUAAGGGAUCCAUUAAAAGAAUUUGCGUUUUAACAGUAUUGUAAGAAUCAUUCAAACCCUUCAAAAAGCAAAUCACAUGCUUCAUUUCUCUAUAUUUCAACGAAACCUUGGACAAGUCACAGUUGCAUGGUAUUUCACAAGUGCAGACUGGUAUUGGUCUUAAAGACUCCAAUUCUUCCCAUAAAAUCUUCAGGUCAGUGAAGAACUGGUUGACUCCACGUUCUCCUUGUUUAAUUGAGUGUAUGUCUUGUAAUAAAUCUGAGAUUUUGAAGUAAUCCCCUUUUGAAAACCUCUCUUUAAGCUCGUCCCAUAAUUCUUUCGCUUCUUCGACGUAGAUGACGCUUUCAGAAAUAUGAGGAGAUAGGGUCUUCGUCAUCCAUGACAGAAUCAUCACAUUACAUCUUUCCCAUGCAUCGUAGGUAUCAUCAUUUUUCUGAGGUCUGAUCAGAUUUUUCCAUGGUGGUAAAAGAAAGAUUUCAAGAACCCAGCCCAAGAGGGUCCAAGAAACAGCAGCGAUGGCAAUGGAAGCAGAGCAGGUACUAGACCUGCUCUGAUACCAUAUUAAUUCGAACCCAGUACUGUAGCUUAGAGGCCCAAUACGUGUUGGCCCAUUAUCUUGAAUGAAAGAUAGAUACGUUCUGUCUGCGUGGCAUUUGCUGAGAAUGAAAGCAGAGUUAAAGAGAGAGAGGCUUCCAGACGCUCCGUCUGGAUGAAGAGAGAGAAGGAAGACGGUGGCCGGCAGAGCUCCGGCACGGCGGCGGUUGCCGUCGACGUAGAAGAGAGAAAUGAAGAUCGUGACAAGGUGAGUAUGAAAAACUUCUUCUUUUCUUAUUUGAAUGAACAUACGAAAUUACAAAGUAAUAUUGUUUUUUAUAAUCGAAAAAGGGGAGAGGAACUCUAUUUAUAUAGAGUUCCAGGGGAAGAAGGAAAAACCGAAAACCUAACAACUAACCACUGUUCAACAAACAGUGAAGGACUGUCUUAACAAGACAGUUAAGAGAAUCGAAGGAUUCUCAAUAAAAAAUGUAAGUUAUUUUAUGUUUUUUUUUUUUUCUUUUCACCUACCUUUGUUAGUCUAAACUUGCAACGAACAAGGAUGGAUGAACUCUUGUUCGGAAAGAAACAAUUCGCAUCUAAGAAAUUUGUCAAUCACAACGAACAAAUUUGUCAAUCACAACGAACUUGUUUCUCAAUGGAGAUAAUAAAAGCACAAGCUCGACAUAACAAUGGAAAAACAAUACAAUAAUCAAUCUCAAAUGUCAUAAGCACAAAAAGAAAGAACUACUCACGUCCGAGAAGGAAAAACUCAAGAUCGAAAAUAGAAGCACAGUAACCGACCUAGGUUUUUCAAACUUAAACUUUCAAAAAUAUGAAUGAAAGAACUGUCACCCCAUUCCAUUUGUGUAAUUUUUCAUCCAACCAUUUUCACUUCUAAAAUAUUAUAAAAACAGGUAAAAAAAUGAGACAUCAACACUUUCAAAUAAAAAACUGGUUUUAACAUAUCCUUUUUUUCAUUUUUUAAAACCGCUUAUUCUAGUAAAAUUACAUCAUUUUUAUGAAAAUACCUCAAUUCUCAAAUCCUAAGUUAUAAGUUCUUGUUUUGCUUACGUGAUAUUGCAAACCUUUUUAGCGUAUUUGUGAAAGUGAAAACCUACAUUUACCACUGAAAUGGUAUGGUCUCUACGGCUUCUAACUUUAUCAGAAUGUUCAUAUUCUAUUCAAUCUCUUGUUUCACUUUCAAUUAAAAAAUUUCCAACACUAAUUUCUCGUUGGAAAUUACAUUUCACACAUUUUUAAAAAUGGUUAAAAACAACACCUCAGUUAUAUCAUAUCAUUUAUUUAUUUAUUUAUUUUAUUUGUACAUUAUUGUUUUUGUCGCUCCUUAUUUAUUUCAAUUUUAUAAUAAAAUUGAAUCACAGUUUAAAGUAUUUCUUAUAAAUCAAAAAUAUAAUUUAUUUAUUUACAGUAAAGCUUAAAUACUAGUUAAAACUAAAUGCCUGAUCAUUAUUACACUAAUGUAUAAUAAUUAAAUAUAGCAUUGAAGAAUGAUAAUAUCAAAUAUUAAUCCAAGUCCUUAUGUUUGUGCCACAAUUAAAUUGAAACGUUUGGAGAAGCAUUUUUAUUAAAACUUUCAAGAAAAUUAAAAUGAAUUAAUAUACAAUUUAUCAUACAAAUAAAAAGCGUAACUAUUUUAAAUUUCUACUUUAUAACCUUGCUUGCCCACAGAGCUUAACGGUCAAUUCUUCCUGCUCCUACAUCCACAAUUUCAUCCUACGCUUCCAUAAAUUUUUGGAUUUCAAGAGUACAUAUUUUUAUAUUUCAGAUUCUAUAUUCUAAAAUACAAUAUAUAUAUAUAUAUAUAUAUAUAUAUAUAUAUAUAUAUAUAUAUAUAUAUAUUUCAAAUUAUAUAAUACAGAAUUCAGAAUACAAAUAUAUUUCAGAAUAAUCUGCAAUACAAUUUCUAUAUUCCAAAUUAUACAAUUCAAAAUACAAAUUUUAUAUUUAAUAUUAUGGUUUUUGGAAUAUAAAAAAUCAUAUUUUAAAUUAUAUAUCCCAGAAUAAAAAAUAUAUAUACUCUAAAUUAUACAUUUCAAAGUACAAAAUUUACAUUUCCAAUUGCACAAUUCUAGAGUAGUAAAACAUUUGGAAGAAUUUACCAGAGUACAGAAAGAAAUUCAUGGAGGUGCAGGAAGAAUUACCACCUUGAAUUAAAUGUUCCACCAUUUAAAAGAUAAAUAAGAUACUAACAUUAUCAACACAAUGCUCUGUUUUAACAUCAAAUUCAUUAAUUUAUAGCCCAGUACAGCAAGUGGAAAAUCAAAUGGAUUUUGAAUGUACUUGUUCAGCUUUAUGUAGCAGGGGGCAGUCAAUAAUUGAAAGCACAUUUUUAACUUCUCAUGAUUAUACUCAGAACUAUAAAAUUAAAGGCCAAAUACAAUGACAAAACCAUAGUAUCCGUGAAUGAAUAUGUUCUUCAAACACAAUGGUUACAGUAAAGGCAAAAUAGAGGAACAUCCAAUUAAGGAUCAAAGGCGUAUUAAUAUCGAUGUAAAAAACAAGUACUUCUAAACAGCUCAUAUUGCUUCUCGCAUUAAUAUUCCAGUAAUUCAAGCUAUUUAAAUGAAGAAGCAUCGAAUUUAAAAUAACAAAACUUGUGAACUCCUCAAAACAACUAGCUAAUUUAAUUA
rnacentral:lncRNA from 1 species